rnacentral:lncRNA from 1 species
GUCGUAUUCACGACCCGUUUCAUUGAUGUGUGUGGUAGCAUGGAAAGUCACAGGAAGUUUAAAGUGGCAUGCUUAUCAGAAGAGGAUGCUUGGGAGCUGUUUCGAGGAAAAGUAAGGCAAGAAACUCUUGAGAGUCAUCAUGAUAUCGUUGAGCUAGCCCAAACUGUGGCCAGAGAGUGUGGCGGUUUGCCACUCGCGCUUAAAACUAUAGGUCGAUCUAUGGCCUACAGAAAGACAGCUAAGGAGUGGAGACAUGCAAUUGAAAUGUUAAGGAGAUCAGCUUCAGAGUUUGCAGGUUUGGGAGAAAAGGUGUAUCGUCUUUUAAAGUUUAGCUAUGAUAGUUUGCAGAAUGAUACGAUUAGAUCUUGUUUCUUAUAUUGUUGUUUGUAUCCUGAAGAUUAUGGCAUUCUUAAAUGGGAUUUGAUUGAUUGUUGGAUUGGUGAGGGAUUCUUAGAGGAAUCUGACAGGUUUAGUGCAGAAAACCAAGGAUACUACAUUGUGGGCACUCUUGUUCAUGCAUGUUUAUUAGAAGAGGUGGAAGAUGAUAAAGUAAAAAUGCAUGACGUUGUUCGUGAUAUGGCUAUAUGGAUAACCGGUGAAAUUGAGAAGGAGAAGCGAAACUUUUUGGUUUGUGCAGGUGCUGGAUUAAAAGAGGCACCGGAUGUUGAAGUAUGGGAAAAUGUGAGAAGAUUGUCAUUGAUGCAAAACCAAAUUGAAACUCUGUCAGAGGUUCCCACAUGCCCUCAUCUUCUCACUUUAUUUCUUGACUUUAAUAGGGAGUUGAAGACUAUUGCGGAUGGCUUCUUCCGAUGUAUGCCUUCUCUCAAAGUUUUGAAGAUGUCAAACUCUGGAAAGCCUUGGAAAGGUUUGGAAUUAAAUUUGGGGAUGCCAAAGUUGGGUUCACUACAGCUUCUUGAUAUUUCACACACCUGCAUACAAGAUUUACCGCAAGAAUUAAAGUUGUUGGUAAAUCUGAAAUGUUUGAAUUUGAGGCGGACAAUUUGGUUAAAUAAAAUUUCAUGGCAACUAAUAUCAAAUUUUUCAAGGUUACGUGUGUUGAGAAUGUUCGCUACUGGCUGGUUCAAUUUUCAUGAAGCACCAGAAGACAGCGUUUUAUUUGGUGGGGGUGAAGUUUUGAUACAGGAAUUGCUCGGUUUGAAAUAUUUAGAGGUAUUGGAGUUGACCUUGGGAAGUUAUCAUGCUCUCCAAAUUCUUUUCAGCUCAAAUAAGCUAAAAAGUUGUAUUCGAUCUCUUUACCUCCAGUUGACCGGAGAUACAGCGUUAAUUAUUGAUGCUACGGCUUUCGCAGAUCUAAAACACCUCAAUGAAUUACGCAUUGAGUCGGCUACAAAGCUGAAAGAAUUGACGGCUGAUUAUACAGAGAUAGUUCGAAAAAGGCGGGAACCUUUUGUUUUCCGCAGCCUUCACCAUGUUACUAUACAAAGCUGCCAGAAGUUGAAAGAUUCGACAUUCCUCGUUUUUGCUCCAAACCUCAAGUCUCUUUCGAUAGUCAAAUGCAAUGCUAUGGAAGAAAUAAUCAGCGUCGGAAAAUUUGCUGAGACUCCUGAGAUGAUGGGACAUAUAAGUCCUUUUGAAAAUCUCCAAAUGAUUGAUUUACUAGGUUUGCCACAUUUGAAGAGCAUCUUCUGGAAGCCAUUGCCUUUCACUCAUCUGAAAGAAAUAUCUGUGCGUUAUUGCCCUAAUCUUAAAAAGCUUCCACUCGAUUCCAACAGUGCAAAGGAGCGUAAAUUUGUUAUUCGUGGAGAAGAAGACUGGUGGAACCCACUUCAAUGGGAGGAUGAAGCCACUCAAAUUGCUUUUCGUUCCUGUUUCCAACCCUUGUUCCUGAACAGUGGUCGCAAAAUUUGAUUUCUGGUGAGUGCGUUUGUCUUUUAAAAAGAAUAAUUUAAAAGAAAUUUAUUCUUGUCGGUUUCUUCACUGUUUUUAUUUCAGUUUCUCUCUCUCUCUCUCUCUCUCUCUCUUUUUGUCUUCUGCAAAUCACAAUUACAUUUUUAUUCUUGUCGUUUUCUUCACUGUUUUUAUUUCAGUUUCUCUCUCUCUCUCUCUCUCUCUUUUUGUCUUCUGCAAAUCACAAUCAAAUGUUGAAUUAAUGGAAUUAAUGCUUCAUAAAUUUGCCGGCACUGCCAUUACUUUUUUUUGGGGGAUCGAAUUGAUACUUUAUUUAUAUCUUCUUAGCGAUUUAAUUUCCUGUCAAAAGACGAACGAGAAGAACAUAUGACUUAAACCAAUGCUCGCAUAAACUUGCUGUAAAAAGAUAUAAUCUCACUGAAAUGCACACGCCUAGAAUGAAUAGAAUUAAAACAGGGAAAAUAUUAAGUAUAUUAGCCCUCUUUACUGAAAAUCAAAUGACAGUAAAUUUUUUGAAGUUUUGAUUUUCUAUGGUCAAUUCCACCUUUUGCAAUUUCUUCUGUUCUAACAAAAACCAAUUUCUUUGUUCAAGUAUUUUCGUUUGGAUAUUAAUAAUUCUCCACCGAAAGAGUGAACUCUUGCUCAAAGGGAUCUCUAAUAAUACAUAACAUGAUUAUUUUCGUUUGAAUAAUUGAUUUCUUGAUUGAAUUGUCGUGUAAUUGAUUUAUGGGGGAUGACACAUCAACAUACUUGAAAAUACACUAAUCUCAGCAUCAUCGGUUAAUAACUUUUAGAUUUAUGGGUAAUCAAUAGUUAAGAUUAGUUGUCAUUAAUACUAAAUAAUUUUUACUUUUUUUGUCUCUUCUAGAGGAUCUUCUAGAAAAAUGCAUCCACAAUUAAAUUUAAUACUUUACAUAAUAAACAAAGCCUAAAUGUUAAAUUUAAGAAACUGCAUUGUAUUUCAGUUGAAGUUGACUUUAAUAUUUAGGGUAGAAAAACAAUUAAUUUUAUUUUUUGAAAUGUCCAUAUUCAGAGCACAUUUCAAAAAGACUCAAUAAUUUCUCAUAAAUUUCAAUUAAAAAUAUUCAAUUUGUUGUUUCAGUUCUUUUAUUUUUUAUUUUUUCCGACAUGAAAGCGACUUAAUGUUACUAAAUUGGGUGGUCUUUGGAUUUUCAUGACCCAAUAAUUGGAACAAAACAAUUUUCUCAAGCGCUCUCCCGCAACAUUUUAUAAUUGAAGCCGCUGCCCCGCCCGUGGUUUCAAACUUUUUUCUUUCUCCUUGUUUAAAUUAAUGGGAGCAGCCUCCGUCCUUGACUAGUUGACUGCUUGUCUUCUUUUUUUUAUUAAUUAAUUAAUUCAGCCGCCCCCCUUUCUUGUCCCAAUAUCUUCUACUUUCGGUUUCCUUUUAUUAUCUCUUUAUUUUUAAAAAAUGCUUAUAAUAAUAAUAAAAUAUAAAAUAUAAAAAUAAAAAUAUAAUUUAUCAGAAAAUUAAGAUAAAGAAAUAUUAUAAGCACAUCAAUCAACAAGUGAAAAAAAAACAAUUUUAAUUUACAUUAAAUAUAAACUUUCAGUGUUAAUCAACUUUUCUAAAUAACUAAAUUAAAAAAUUAAUUGAUUUAAUUGUGGUGUAAUUGAUUUGUAGGGGAUGAAUCAGCAGCAUCAUCGGUUAACGCUUUCAGAUUUAUAGUUAAUCAAUAGUUGAGAGUUGUUAUCACUAACGCCGUGUAUUUUUUAAUGUUUUUUCUCUCUCCUACAGCAUCUUCUAGGAAAGUGCAUCCGUUGCUAAAAUUUAGUAUCGUAAAUAAUAAACCAAGAAUAAAUAUUAAAUCUAAGAAACUGUAUUGCAUUUAAUAUUUAAGGGAGAAAAAUAAUUAUAGUGUCUUUAUUAAUCAGUAAAAAAAAAAAUUAGAAUCAUAAUAAAUUGUAUUGUUAUUGAUGUAUUUAUUUUAUUUUAUACUCAAAAUAAAUUAUUUUAAAUUAUUAAAAUAAUUUAAAAUUAGUAUUUUAUUUUAUACUCAAAAUAAAUAAUUUAAAAUUUUCAUUUCUUGUUUAUUUCGCAAGUUGUUAUUGCCUAAUGCUAUGUCAACUCGAACAUUAGCAUUUUUUUUUUUGGUCCUCUUUUAACGCAAAAUUAGUGUAGGUUAAGUAACAUAAUCAAUAUUAGGACAAUUUGAAAUCCCUAUGGGUGCGUUUGGUACACUGUAUUGUAUUAUACUGUAUUGCAUUAUUUUAAUGCUGAUGUAUUGUAUUAUGUUGUAUUGCAUUAGCACUGUAUUAUAACAAUGCUAUACAAUAUUUGGUGUUACAUUGUACUGUAUUAGAUUUUAAUUAUAUUAUAUUUAGUGUUACAAUUGUUGUAACAUAAACACGACCAAAAUAAAUUGUACUAAAUAAUCUAAGUAAGAGUUCUGUAGUAUAUGUAAUAAUACUAUUUAUAUUAUUAUUAUUAAUAAUUCUAAAUUAAUAUUAUUUAAUUUUAUUCAUAUUUAAAUAUGUAUUAUUAGUUUAUUAAAUUAUUUAAAAUAAUUAAUUUAUAUAUAUUAAUUAUUGUAACUUAAUUAAAUAAUGUAAUGCUAUAUUAUAUUUUUAUAUACUAUUUAAGUAUUUAUUAUUAAUUAUAUUUAAUUAUAAAUUUAUUAAUAAAUUAUAAUAUAAAAAUAAAAAAUAAAAAUUAAUAUUGUAUAAUAUUAUAUUAAAUUAAAGUUUUAUUUUUAUUACUAUUAUUAUAAAGUAAAAAAAAAAAAAAGGGAAGCUACUGACUUUUGAAACACAAAAGUCAGUAAUACAACCUAAUCACGAGGGGGGGCGCGGGUUUUGAUAAUGCGGCAAAAGCUGCAUUGUAAUGCUGCUCAAUGCAAUCCAUUUGAUCACCAAACACAGGUAUAUUUUAACUAAUGCUGGGCCCACAAAAUAAUACAAUGCAAUUCCGCAUGCCAAACAUACCCUAUGGGUGCGUUUGGUACACUGUAUUGUAUUAUACUGUAUUGUAUUAUUUUAAUGCUGGUGUAUUGUAUUAUGCUGUAUUGCGUUAGCAUUGUAUUAUAAUAAUGUUGUACAAUGUUUGGUGUUACACUGUACUGUAUUAAUUUUUAAUUAAACUAUAUUUGGUGUUAUAUUGUAUUGUAUUAAUUUUUAUAAUUAAUUAAAUUAAAUAAUUAAAAAAUAAUAUUUAUUAAUACUUAGAAAAAUAAUAAAUAUAGAAAUCUUAAUUGUAGAAAUUUAACAAAUUUUUUAGUAAAUAUUAAAAAUUAAUGAUUAAAUUUCUAAAAUUUGUAUUAUAAUUAUGAUAAAAUAAAUUUAUAAAAUUUAAUAUUAUAUGUAAAUAAUAAAUUUAGAUUAUAAUUAAUAUUAUAAUUGUUAAUAUAAAUUAAUAAAUUAUUAUUCAAUAAUAUUCAAUUAUAUUUUAAUUUACAAUAUAUUAUUAUUUUUACAUUUUAAUAUAUUAAUAAAUUUAUAAUUUAACAUAAAUAAUUAUAAAUUUAAAUAAUAUUAAUUUUAAAAUUAAUAUUAAUGUAAAUAAUAUUAUAAUAUUAAUAUAUUAUUUUUAUAUGAAUCAUUAAUAAAUAAAAUAAUAUUAUCAUAUAAUUUAUUUUUAUAUUUUAUUCAUUAUAUUAAUAUUUAAUAAUAAAAUAAUUUAUUUUUAUAAUAUUUUAAUAAAAUAAAUUUGCCUCAAUUGAGGCAUUAACUGUUGCCUCAAUUGAGGCAAAAAGCUUCCGCAUCCCUCGGGUUUGCGUAAUGCGGCCCCAUGCCUCAUUAUGCUGCAUUAUAAUGCAGCAUAAUGAGGUGUCAAAUUUUGCCAAACAUGUUCUUGGUAAUAAACUAAUGUGAAUAGUAGUAUAAUACCACAUAAUCUCAUGCACCAAACACGCCCUAUGUGUAUUAUUCACGGUAUCUAUGAGGGCUUAUCCUUUUGCUAGAACAAACUCUAGCAAAUUGUCAAAUGUGCUUAUCCUUUCCCUUGACGACUCAUUUUAAAAUUGUCACUCAUUUUAAAAUUGUCUUUCAAUGCACAAACACAGACAUAACCGCCGACAUCGAGCACCAAGUUUGGAAUUUAAUUGAUAAGCAUACAUUUGAUAAAUUAAUGAAAAGUUUGGAGAGUAGUUUUGAUCACCCUUGAUUAGGACGGUAUUACAAAAAAGAUCAAAAAGAAAACAUCGUCUCUCUUCACAAAAAUAAAUAUUUUCCGUUAGAAUUUAAUACAAUAAUAUUUUUUUUGAUUAAAAUUUAAUUAAAUACACAAAUAAAUUAUAUAUUUUUUAAAAAAAUUUACACCCAGUCACAAGGCUGGCUAUUAAACUUAAAGGGUGGAAGCUUCGGAGACUAAAGUUGGUAACUUCUCCAAGUGGUCUUAAGUUGACCGGAACUACCCAGACUUUAUGUUUGGUAGCCUAGACCUGAUCGGACCUAGGCCCAAGUUUGGUCUUAAAGUCCACAAUUAAAUUAAAAAAAAAUUAUUUGAUUUGUAAUUGAUUUAUGGGGAAUGAAUCCGCAGCCCUAAAAUUACACCAAUCUUGACAUAAUGACAUCAUCGGUUAAAAACGUUCAGAUUUAUGGUUAAUCAAUGGUUUGAGAUUUGUUAUCAUUAAUGCUAGAUAUUUUUUAACAUUUUUUUCUAUCUCUCUUCUCCUGAAGGAUUUUCUAGGAAAAUGCAUCCACAACAAAAAUUUUAAAUUGUAAACAAUAAACAGAGUAUAAACGUUAAAUCUAAGGAACAUCGCUGCAUUUCAGCUGAAGCGAACUUUAAUAUUUUACGGAGAAAAAUAAUUAAGUCUUUAAUGUGAUUUAUUGAUUAAUAUAUAUGACUAAUUUUUUAAAAGAAGAUGAAGGAUGAAGCUUAAAAAUAUAAAUUAUAGAAUUAAUUUAUCUCUUCAAUAAAUCUAAAGUUUAUUUUUUUUAUUACAUGCUUCUAUUUUAUUUUUAUUCCAUGUUAAUGAAUGGAGAUUUAAAUCCAUUUUGGAUUUAUAAAGAUGUUUAGAUAUUUAAAUCCACGUGUGAUUCCAAACUUGAACCUUUUUUUUUUUUUUUUCUAAUUAAUGCAAACAGCCGCCUCUUUGACUGCUUUUCUUCUUUGUUUAUUAAUUAAUUAAUUCAGCUGCCCACCUUUCUUUUCCUAAUGUUUUCUACUCCCAAAUUUUUUUAAGGACAAGGCUACGUUGCAGACGCUGUACCUAACAGCUGCACCUUCGCCAGCUUAAAAAAGGGUGCAUUUGGUAAGCAACUUUUCUUUCGUGUGCAUAUGUGUCCUGCCACCAUUGGGUGUGUACGUAACAGAUAAUGUACCGUAACAAGCUCCUAUUUUUAAAUUUGUUUAUAAUGAUAAAAUAUAAAAAUUAAGAUUAAAAUGUAAUGUAAUGUAAAAUUAAAGGUGGAAGAGUAUUAAAAUAAGGCUAAACCUAUGUUACGUUUAACGUAACAUACAUUUAAAUAUAUAAAAUAUCAAUGGAAACCCUCAAAUUUUAUGGAAACUAUAUUAAUAAAAUUAAAAGAAAUAUUUUUAAAUCUGAAAGAAGAAAUAAAAGAUAUAAAGCAAGAGAUAGGAAAACUAAAAAUAGAAAUAUCUGUAAAAGAAAAAGGAAAAGAAAAAUUAGAAAUAAAAGAAACAACUCCAACUGAAUCGAAUUCAGACUAAUGGAAGAUGUAUUAGAAACUUUAACUGAAAAAUUCAGUGACAUAAAUCUUAGUGAUUUAGAAGACUUUGAAAAAGAAUAUUAGAUAAAAAUGAAUACUGCUGGAGGACCAGAAAUGAAACCUAAUGUAGCAUAACCAAGUCAUAGAUAUGGUAUAAAUAAAAUGAAAAAUAAACCUUUUUACGAGUAUAUACCUCCUAUUAAAAAUACUCCUUGGAAAAAAGAAUACAAACCAAAUCAAGAUACAUUAACCCCAAUAAAUAAUGCUGGAACAUUUUUAAAUCUAGAUUGUAAGAUAGACAUUCGAAAGGCGUUAGCAGAAUGGGUGUUACAAAUGAAAUUAUUUUUUAUAUUUAACGGGUCAAAGGAUGACUAGAAUGUAGAGACUGAAGAAGAAAAAAUAGAUAUAUUUGUUGAAAUCUUAAUAGCCAGUUUUUCAGGAAAUGUGUUUAAUUGGUGGAGAGGAUUAAGCGAUGAUACACAAAACUUAAUAAAAGAUUCAACCAAAUAGCAUUUAGAAAAAAUAAAGCCUUAGGAAUGGAAAGGAUAACUGAAUACAUAGCUAGUGAAUUUUUAGGAGAAGAUUGGCUAGAAAAAUCGGGCAUAUAUGAAAAUUUAAAAAUUUAUGAUAAAAAGAUCUUAGUGUUUUUAUUAAAAAAUUAAAAUUUACAUGACUAUUUCUUUAAAUAUUUAGGGCAUAUAUGAACCACGGAGGAGAAAAGCUUUAUUUAAUAUUUUAGAAUAGUUUUUGAUCAGUACAAUUGGGUCCUUAUUCAGAAUUAUUGUUCUCUUCCGCAACAGUUUUUGUUUAUCAAAGUCGUCAAUUAAAAUUUUAGAAUUCUUAUCAGAAGAAGUAGUCGUUUUAGAAGUUGGGUCUUGGAUCAAAUUUCUACGAGUGCAUGAAUUAACAAUAAAAAAAUUUCAUUACACACGGUUUAAGCUACAAACUACUAUUUGCACAGUUGACUAUAAAACUUACCUCCAAUUACACUAAACCUCUCUAUUUGGUAACGUUGAGACUAAAUUAAUUUUAUUAGCAUGAAAAGAUGAUAGAAAUAUAAUUAUAAAUAUUAUUGUUGUUAAUCAAUUAGUACAUGUGAUAUAAAGGUUAAAUGUGCACUAUAUUUAAUAAUUAAUUAGUGGAGCAUGUUAAACAAAAUGUUAAUGUAUAUUUAUAUAGUGUUAGGAAUAUGCAAAGUCAAGUCCUCAAUUUGCAUUAUCCUGUAUAGAAUAUUACUCUAAAAAUGUUUUACUAUAAUUGGCUUAGAACAUUUGUAAAGAAAAAUAAUAAUAAAAUAAUAAAUAACAUACACCGUCACAUAGCACCUAGACAAUGAUAGAAAAUUAUUAAAGAGAGUGCAAACAAUUAAUUAGAGAUUUUUAUGAUGACUUUUAAUAUUCAUGAUAAUAACAAAUAAAUACAUGUAUCACUUUUUUAAAAUAUUAAAUUUGACUGCUCCAUUAAUAAAUUAUUAUUGUAAUUCAGACUCUAUCUAUAUAUCCUUGCACUAAGAAUAAUUAAGGUAACGUUUGUUUUUUAACUUAAUGACUUAAAGUGACUUAACUUAAUUAAUUAAGUUAAUUAGAGGUGUUUGUUUUAUAACUUAAUGAGACUUUUUAGAUAAUUUUGACUUAAUAAAAUAAGCUAAUUUUUUUUGGCUUUUUACUUAAUGGAGAAAUCUGAAUUAAGUCAAUUACUUGCUAAUGUCAAAAAUAUCCUUGUUUUAUAAUUUAUUUUUCAUGUCUAUCCCAAAACUCGCCCGUAGAUAUUUACCCCACAUAAAAAUAUCCCUGUUUUUUUCUUUCUUAUAUUAUAUACGAUAAAAUUUGAAAUUUAUAGUAUUUUAUAUAUUAAAAUUCUAAAAUAAUUAUGUAUUCACUUGAAUAUAGUUUUACUUAUAAAUGUUAAAAUAUGAUGGUAUUUAAUAUAUUAUUUAUUUGACAUUCAAAUUUAAUAAGGAUACAAAUGUAAAAGUACAUAUUUUCAGCUUUUUAAAUUGAAAAAAAAUAACUUAAUAUUUAUUUUCUGAGAUUCAGACGAAAAAAUAAACAUAUUAUUCAGAUUCAUACAUUCAGAUCUAUUCAGAAUUCAAACUAAUUCAAGUCUAUUCAAAUUUUAGACAAAAAAAUAAACGCCACCUAAGUCAUAAUAAAAAUUUUCGUAACUACAUCUCGUUUCUUCCUCAUAAUAAUAAUUAGAUUGGUUCGAAUAUUAUAACUAUAUAGAUUUAGUGUAUAGCCACAUCCAAUUUAAAUAUUGACCCAAUUGGGAUGGUCCCCAAAAAAAAAGAUUCGUUAAAGGAUAAUUCUAAUUAUUUUUACUUCUCAAACGUUAGUGGGACGUUUCUAUUAGCGCACUCGUAAGCCAAGUUGUCAAAUAUUUAUACUAAACUACAAUUGCUAACAAGAAAAAUCAAGAUCGUGUUAAGCAAGUGGGUCCCGAAUAGGACGUGCAAAUCUCUCGUAAGUCAAGUUGUCAAAUGUUUAUAUAAAACUAACAAUUACUGACAAGAAAAAUCAAGAUCGUAUUAAAAAUGGGUCCCGAAUAGGAUUAUCUUUUUAAGAAUAUUAUUAUUUUAUUAUUAAAAUUUUAUUAAUAUAACAGUAUUAAAAUUUAUUAAAAAAUAUAUUUUAUUAUUAAAAUUUUAUACCGUUAUCAAUUUAUUAUUAUUUUAUUAAAAAAAUUAAUAUUUAACAAAAAUUGAGAUAAAAAUUAAUUUUUGUUCUCUGUCUUUAUUUAUUUAUUUAUUUUUUUGGGUCUUCUGCAAAUCACAAUCAAAUGUUGAAUUAUAAAUUUGCCGGCAUUGCUUUUUUUUUUUUUUUUGGGCCGGGGGGUGGUGUUGAAUUGAUGCUCUGGGUUUUUGACUUUUGUUGUCAAAUUUUACUCUGUUUUUCCCAAAUUGAUGCUANNNNNNNNNNNNNNNNNNNNNNNNNNNNNNNNNNNNNNNNNNNNNNNNNNNNNNNNNNNNNNNNNNNNNNNNNNNNNNNNNNNNNNNNNNNNNNNNNNNNNNNNNNNNNNNNNNNNNNNNNNNNNNNNNNNNNNNNNNNNNNNNNNNNNNNNNNNNNNNNNNNNNNNNNNNNNNNNNNNNNNNNNNNNNNNNNNNNNNNNNNNNNNNNNNNNNNNNNNNNNNNNNNNNNNNNNNNNNNNNNNNNNNNNNNNNNNNNNNNNNNNNNNNNNNNNNNNNNNNNNNNNNNNNNNNNNNNNNNNNNNNNNNNNNNNNNNNNNNNNNNNNNNNNNNNNNNNNNNNNNNNNNNNNNNNNNNNNNNNNNNNNNNNNNNNNNNNNNNNNNNNNNNNNNNNNNNNNNNNNNNNNNNNNNNNNNNNNNNNNNNNNNNNNNNNNNNNNNNNNNNNNNNNNNNNNNNNNNNNNNNNNNNNNNNNNNNNNNNNNNNNNNNNNNNNNNNNNNNNNNNNNNNNNNNNNNNNNNNNNNNNNNNNNNNNNNNNNNNNNNNNNNNNNNNNNNNNNNNNNNNNNNNNNNNNNNNNNNNNNNNNNNNNNNNNNNNNNNNNNNNNNNNNNNNNNNNNNNNNNNNNNNNNNNNNNNNNNNNNNNNNNNNNNNNNNNNNNNNNNNNNNNNNNNNNNNNNNNNNNNNNNNNNNNNNNNNNNNNNNNNNNNNNNNNNNNNNNNNNNNNNNNNNNNNNNNNNNNNNNNNNNNNNNNNNNNNNNNNNNNNNNNNNNNNNNNNNNNNNNNNNNNNNNNNNNNNNNNNNNNNNNNNNNNNNNNNNNNNNNNNNNNNNNNNNNNNNNNNNNNNNNNNNNNNNNNNNNNNNNNNNNNNNNNNNNNNNNNNNNNNNNNNNNNNNNNNNNNNNNNNNNNNNNNNNNNNNNNNNNNNNNNNNNNNNNNNNNNNNNNNNNNNNNNNNNNNNNNNNNNNNNNNNNNNNNNNNNNNNNNNNNNNNNNNNNNNNNNNNNNNNNNNNNNNNNNNNNNNNNNNNNNNNNNNNNNNNNNNNNNNNNNNNNNNNNNNNNNNNNNNNNNNNNNNNNNNNNNNNNNNNNNNNNNNNNNNNNNNNNNNNNNNNNNNNNNNNNNNNNNNNNNNNNNNNNNNNNNNNNNNNNNNNNNNNNNNNNNNNNNNNNNNNNNNNNNNNNNNNNNNNNNNNNNNNNNNNNNNNNNNNNNNNNNNNNNNNNNNNNNNNNNNNNNNNNNNNNNNNNNNNNNNNNNNNNNNNNNNNNNNNNNNNNNNNNNNNNNNNNNNNNNNNNNNGAAGGGUCUCUAAUCAAUAGCUGGAAGCAAUUGAGAAGGCGGUUGCUACAGUGAAUUCAAAUGUAAAAUGUUUGCUAUUCUUCGAUUUGGUUAAUGAUUUCGUAUGAAUAUUGUUGUUCCGUUGAGUUGCAUGCGAAUUCAAAUGCAAAAUAUUCUUCGAUUUUCAAUUUUGAAAUCAAAUUUUUUUUUCCUUCUCAAGCAUGUUAUGCAGAAACGAUUGUCAUGUUAUGCAGAAACGAUUUUUACUAAAUCAUUUUUAACAAACUAUUGAAAUUAAACCACUGGAAUAAGAAUUGUAAGGAUUUAUCGUAAGCUUACUAAUACGAUAAUUCUGAAACUAUCACCUUUUUUUUUUUAUUUGUUGCAGGGAAACCCAAAUUUUGUAUUUUGUCAAUUUCAUCUGAUAUGGAAUUUAUUUCCUCCCUAAAGAUUUAUCAAACUGCUUCUCUUCCCUGCUUCAAUAUCUUUAUGCAAUUACGAUCUCAUAGGAAAAGAGAGUUUGGGUUGUAUAUCUUAUAGUAUUUAUUUAUUUUUUGUUAAAAGAAAUUUAUUUUAAAAUAGUUUAUAGCAACAGUUUUUAUUUAACAAUAAUGAGGAAGGAUUAUUAUAGGUUCAAAUAGUUGUUAGAACAUUAUAAAAAAGUCCAUUUACUAUCAAAUGUUUUAAAUUGGUGCAACGUGAUAAUUGUCUCAUAUAAUUUUUUAAGGGUAAAAACUCGUUUCAUUCCCAUAUUUUAAGAUUAUUACUCAUUUAGUCUUUAUAUUUUUAAAAAUGUUUCAAAACAUUCAUACCCUUAAAUUAUUAACAUCUCUGCUGUUACUUUUUAUUUUUUUUUGACUUGUUUUUACAAUAUUGCCCUCUUACAAUAAUGUUUCUUUUUAUAAAAUUAAUAAAAAGAAAAAAAAUUAAAUUAUCAAUUUAACCCCAAAAAUAAAAUAAAAAUAAAAAGAAUAAAUAUUAAUUUUUGUGAAAGUUUACAUGUGUCCAAAAUAAAUUUUAUUGUAAAAAUAAUUAAAUUGCCUUUUUUUUGGACAUUAGUAAUAAAAAAAUUAAUAUAUUAAUUCCUCAGCAGUGUGUUACAAAAAAGUAAAAUAUAUUAAUUUUGUUUUUAUUUUAGACAAUGAGAUAGAGAAAAGUACAAGAUAAAGGAAAGGACUUCAAAACUCACUGUUCAUCAUAAUGCCCUUUGCCUUUAAAAAAAAAUCAUUCUAAUAUUUUAUAACACAUAAAAUAUAAUCCUAAGAUAAAUAUAAUAAUACAUAUUUUAAACUAAUCUCGAUAUUUAAAAUAUGUUUUAAUAUUUUAUAAUCUAUCAGACAUAUUUUAUUAUAUUAAUGUAAAAUUUAUAAUAAAUACAAACAUAUUAUUAAAAUAAAUAUAUAAAAAAUAUUUAUUUUUUAUAUGUUUACACUGAGGACUCUCUUUAAUUCAUUUAUUUUCUCUCUCUCCAAACAGGUACUGUCUUCAGUUAGCAAUGCUAUGAUAGUAAUCCAAUUCUCUUCUCCCCCACCUGAGCGAGAUUUGAAUUUGAAUCCCUUGUUUUUCACCCACUCUGUUUUUUUUCACGCAAGAUUUGACAAUUUGAGUUAAAAAAUAUGGUCCAAAACUUGAACACGUAUCUUUUAAUUGUAAUAAAAGUUCUUUAAGCUUUGGAGAUGGCAUAUAUAUGGCUGGAAGUGUCCUUUUCUUUGACCUAGAGGCAGCACCAAGCUAUCCAGCAUCAUCAUUUUUCAAGUGGGUCUUAAAUGCCUAGAAACGUUGGUGUUUCUUGAUUUAAAGAUGACACAUGCUAUAAGUGUGAAUGGUUUGGCUAAGCCUAAAUUUAAAGUCUACUCAAGUCGCAUUCAGGAUCAUGGAAAUUGGAAAGGGAGAGAUGAUAGCAAGAUUUAUAAUAAACAAUUAACUUGGGUCCUCAGUGUACAAAGCAAAUGCCACGCAAGCGAUAGCCGGCCCAGCCCAGAAAACCCAGUGGCGAUCCCAGAGAUGGCCUCCUCUAACGAGUGCUGGGCCCAAAAAUCUUUGCGGGUUGAGCCCAGCUCCGGCAUAGCCCUUUUGAGCAGUAACAGUUGUCGAGACAAAAACCAGAAGACCCAACACUGUUCCAAUGACAAUGCAUACGGUAAACUCUGCCAAGAGCCUUGGCUUGUCUGGAGUCAAAAGCCAUCCACACAGAAGCAAAAAGGAACACAAACGAGCAAAUUAUCUCAAGCCAAAGGGCCUGCCUAGUCCCCAAGCCGAUCUCAACAGGCCCAUCUGGCCCAGGUACGACAACAUUCAGGGUGCAGCCUCCAAGUUGUCAAAUAUUUAUAUUAAACUACAAUUGCUGACUAGAAAAAUCAAGAUCGUAUUACAAGUGGGUCCCGAAUUGGACGUGCCUAAAUCUUUUUAUAAUUUUCCCAGUGUAGCGGACAGAGGUCAUUACUAAAUUUCUCUUCCACACGCCACAGCAGCUUCGGUUAAUCAAACUCAAUCAAUUUUCUUGGCUUCUCCGCUUAUCAAUAUUACAAGGUAUGGGUAGCAUUUUUCAAAUCACAUGCGAUGGUACUAUUUUCAAUCGUUGCUUAGAUUGCUUUCUUGGAAAAGCAGCAUACAUAAGUAACCUCCAAGAUAAUCUUGUUGCCUUGGAGACUGAACUAAGGAAACUAAUCGCAGCAAAGAACGAUGUGAUGACGGCGGUUGUCAAUGCUGAACGGCAACAAAUGAGAAGGCUGGACCAAGUGCAAGUGUGGGUUUCGAGGGCGGAUGCUGUUAAAAAUGAAGCUGAUGAACUUAUCAGAGGCGGCUCUCAAGAAAUUGAAAAAUUAUGUCUUAGAGGGUUCUGUUCCAGGAACUGCACGUCAAGCUACAAGUUCGGAAAACAAGUGGCUAAAAAGCUACGAGCUGUGGAGACUUUAAUCGCCGAAGGAGUUUUUGAGGCGGUGGCUGCCGAGGUGGUGCCUGAGAGAGCUCCAGAGCCUGUAGCAGAUGAAAGACCUACCGAGCGAACAGUAGUAGGCUUGCAAUCACAACUUGAACAAGUCUGGAGAUGUCUUGCAGAAGAAUCAGCGGGAAUCAUUGGCCUAUAUGGUAUGGGCGGUGUUGGUAAAACUACACUAUUGACCUAUAUCAACAAUAAAUUUCUCGAGAGUCCAACCAACUUUGAUUGUGUGAUUUGGGUAGUAGUUUCAAAAGACCUGCGACUUGAAAAACUUCAAGAAAAUAUUGGGAAAAAGAUAGGUUUGGUUGAUGAUUCAUGGAAGAGUAAAAGUGUAGAGGAGAAAGCUCUCGACAUCUUCCGGAGUUUAAGAGAGAAGAGAAUUGUAUUGCUGUUAGAUGAUAUAUGGGAGCGGGUUGAUUUAACAAAAGUGGGCGUUCCACUUCCAGGACCACAAAAUACUACCUCAAAAGUCGUAUUCACAACCCGUUUGAUCGAUGUUUGUGGUAGCAUGGAAGCUGACAGGAAGUUCAAAGUAGCAUGCUUAUCAGAAAAGGAUGCUUGGGAACUGUUUCGAAAAAAAGUUGGGGAAGAAACUCUUGGAAGUCAUCAUGAUAUCGUUGAGCUAGCCCAAACUGUGGCCAAAGAGUGUGGUGGUUUGCCACUCGCACUUAUUACUAUCGGUCGAGCUAUGGCCUACAAAAAGACAGCCGAAGAGUGGAGACACGCAGUUGAAGUUCUAAGAAGAUCAGCUUCGGAAUUUGCAGGUUUGGGAAAAGAGGUGUAUCCUCUUUUAAAGUUUAGCUAUGAUAGUUUGCAGAAUAAGACGAUUAGAUCUUGUUUCUUAUAUUGUUGUUUAUAUCCUGAAGAUUAUGGCAUUCUUAAAUGGGACUUGAUUGACUGUUGGAUUGGUGAGGGAUUCUUAGAGGAAUCUGACAGGUUUGGUGCAGAAAACCAAGGAUACUACAUUGUGGGCACUCUUGUUCAUGCGUGUUUACUAGAAGAGAUAGAAGAUGAUAAAGUAAAAAUGCAUGACGUUGUUCGUGAUAUGGCUCUAUGGAUAGCUUGUGAAAUUGAGAAGGAGAAGAGAAACUUUUUGGUUUGUGCAGGUGCGGGACUAAAGGAGGCACCUGAUGUUAAAAGAUGGGAAAAUGUGAGAAGAUUGUCAUUGAUGCAAAACCAAAUUGAAACUUUGUCAGAGGUUCCUGCAUGCCCUCAUCUCCAUACUCUAUUUCUUGCCUCUAAUAAUAGUUUGCAGAGGAUCACCGAUGGCUUCUUCCAAUUUAUGCCUUCUCUCAAAGUUUUCAAGAUGUCAAACUGCGGGAAUUUAAUUUUGGAAUUACCUUUUGGGAUGUCAAAGUUGGGUUCAUUGGAACUUCUCGAUAUUUCACAUACCUACAUACAAGAGUUACCACAAGAGUUAAAGUUGUUGGUAAAUCUGAAAUGUUUGAAUUUGAGGUGGACAAGCGAGUUAAAUAAAAUUCCACGGCAGCUAAUAUCAAAUUCUUCAAGGUUACGUGUGUUGAGAAUGUUGGGUACUGGCUGGUUCAAUUUUCAUGAAGCAUCAGAAGACAGCGUUUUAUUUGGCGGGGGUGAAGUUUUAGUACGGGAAUUGCUCGGUUUGAAAUAUUUAGAGGUAUUGGAGUUGACCUUGCGAAGUUAUCAUGCUCUCCAAAUUGUUUUGAGCUCAAAUAAGUUAAAAAGUUGUAUUCGAUCUCUUUACCUCCAGUUGACCGGAGAUAGAAAGUCGAUUAUUGAUGCUACGGCUUUCGCAGAUCUAAACCACCUCAAUGAAUGAUUGAUUUUUAAAGGUUUUGAGUUGGAAGAAUUGAAGAUUGAUUAUACAGAGAUAGUACGAAAAAGGCGGGAACCUUUUGUUUUCCGCAGCCUUCACCGUGUUACCAUAGAUUCGUGCCUUAAAUUGAAAGAUUUGACAUUCCUCGUUUUUGCUCCAAACCUCAAGUCUCUUUCGCUAUUCAAUUGCCGUGCUAUGGAAGAAAUAAUCAGCGUUGGAAAAUUUGCUGAGGUUCCUGAGAUGAUGGGACAUAUAAGCCCUUUUGAAAAUCUCCGAAGUCUUCGUUUGUCACAUUUGCCAAAUUUGAAGAGCAUCUACUGGAAGCCAUUGCCUUUCACUCAUCUGAAAGAAAUGGUGGUACAUGGGUGUGAUCAGCUUAAAAAGCUUCCACUCGAUUCCAACAGUGCAAAAGAGCGUAAAUUUGUUAUUCGUGGACAAGCAGACUGGUGGGACCGACUUCAAUGGGAGGAUGAAGCCACUCAAAUUGCUUUUAGUUCCUGUUUCCAACCUUAACUUGAUUUCUGGUUAGUGCUGUUUCCUUAACUUUUACAUAUAUUCUCGUCGUUUGCUUCGUGCAAAAUACUAGGUCUUUUGUUCUCUGUUUUUAUUUCGCCCAUUUUUUUUUUUUUUUUUUGUCUUCUGCAAAUGACAGACAAAUGUUGAACUAAAAGGAAUUAAUGCUUUAUAACUUUGCCGGCAUUGCUUUUUUCUUUUUCUUUUUUGAUUUUUUGGGGCGAGGGGGGAUCGAAUAGAUGCUCUGGUUUUUGACUUUUUGUUGUCAAAUUUUACUCUGUUUUUUUCAAAUUGAUGCUUGAAUAUUUGAAUCAAAUUAAUGCUCACGUAAAUUUGUUCAGUUGCCGUAAAAGGAUAUAAUUACACUGAAAUACACAAACUCUAGAAUGAAUAGAAUUAAACAGAGAAAAUCUUGAGUAUAUUAGCCGUCUUCACAUAAAAUCAUAUGAAAAUUAAAUUUUGAAGUUUUUAUUUUCUAUUUUUAAUCAUACCCUUUAUAAUUUCUUCUGUUCUAACUACAAUAAAAUUUUUGGUUCAAGGAUUUUUAUGAGGGGUAUUAAUAAUAGUCCACCAAAAGAGUGAACAGUUGGAUGCUGCCCUAAGGGUCUCUAAUCAAUAGCUGGAAGCAAUUGAGAAGGCGGUCGUUACUGUGUACAAAGCCAUGCAGUAUUUGCUAUUCAUCUUAGUAAUUAUGAAGCUUUGGUAAAAUUUUCAAACAAAGUUGACAUGUUAUUUUGAGAUUUGGUUCAUGAUUUUGUAUGAAUAUCGUUGUUCCAUUGAGUUGUAUAUGAAUUCAAAUGUAAAAUAUUCUUUGGUUUUCAAUUUUGAAUUCAAUUUCUUUUCUUAAGCAUGUUGUGCAGAAAUGAUUUCUACUAAAUCAUUUUUGAUAAACUACUUAAAUUAAACAACUGCAAUAAGAACUGUUAAGGAUUUAUCGUAAGCAGACUAAUAUGAUAAUUCUGAAACUAUCAUUUUUUUUUUCAAUUUGUUGCAGGGAAAGCCAAAUUUUGUAUUUUUCAGUUUUAUCUGAUAUGGAAUUUAUUUCCUCUACACUAGCUACCUAAAGAUUUAUCAAAUUGCUUCUCUUCCCUGCUUCAAAUUAAUAUCUUUAUGCAACUACAAUCUCAUAGGAAAAGACAGUUUGGGUUGUAUUUAUUAUAGUUUUUUUUUUCGUUAAGAGCAAUUUAUUUUAAAAUCGUUUAGUAGUAACAGUUUUUAUUGAAUAAUAAUGGGGUAGGAUUAUUAUAGGUUCAACUAGUUGUUAGAACAUUAUAAAAAGUCCAUUUACUAUCAAAUGCUUUAAAUUGGUGCAACAUGAUAAUUGUCCCACAUAAUUUUUAAUAAUAUAUAUGGCCCAUAAAUUUAAUAUGAAUAAAUGAGUUUCGAUAGUUAAAUUUGAUACGAUUAUUAAAUAAGUUAUAUCCAUGUCAAUUCGACUUAAAAUCUGGUAAAUUUAGAUUUAGAGUUUAUAACAUGAUAACUUGUUUUAUGACAUGAUUUACUAAUCAAUUAAUAUUAAAUUAUAUUUUAGCCAAUCAGAUAUGUGGUACAUUUGUCAAAUUUUAAAAAUUAUUUAUUUAUAUAUGAAAUAAAUUUGACUAGACUGUGUGUAGGUAAUAGUGCAUAAUUUCUAAAAAAAUGUAAUAAUAACACGUUAAAAUGUUAUUUUUAUGAAGAAAAAUUGAAAUUUUAUUAAAUAGGCGACACAAUAAUAAAUGGGUUGAGAUUAUUUACAUUUUAAGAAUUACUCUGAACAUUAUUUUAUUUUAUAAAUUUUAUAUUACAAAAACACCCAUAGUUUAAUUUACCAUUAAGAACAAUUUUGUGCGAUUAAAUAAAAUACAUUACUCUUUACCCUUUCACUACAUCGACAUAAAUCCUAAUUGUUAUGUUUCUAAUUUCUUUGAUAUGCUUAUUGAAGUCCACAUUAUAAUCAAUUUUAAACUAUUAUACCACUUAAAUACAUUUUAGAAUGAGAAGUUUGGUUUUCUUCAUGGGCUGCCUUGCUGAUGCUGUUAUUGAAACUAUCGAACUUAAUAAUUUUAUGGCCAAAAUGAUAUAUGUUGAACCAGCUUUUACAUCGAAUUCUACCACCAUAAAAAAUCGUACUUGUAACAUCUCAAGGUUCCAAUUUAUCAAAAGUUAAUCAUUCAUAUUUGUUAGUUCCUAACAGUCACAAGAGCGUACAAGCCAAUUUUUGUAGCUCCUUUUUCUGCAGUAGAUUCAAGUAUAUUAUUAUCAAGCAUUUUUGUUACACCCUUAAUUCCUUAUCAUCAUCCCUUCAUUCAGAGCAACUAAACAGAGGUCAAUGUCAUUAUGUUAGAGUUACGAGGAAGAGUACUGCCAAAAAAGUUCUUUGUAUGGGAUUUAAUUUUCUGGGUUUGUAGUGAUGAACAAAUUGAGGGUUGUUUUGGUAUUUUCAAGAGUGUAUUGAGUGAAAAUUAUUUUUAAAAAAUUUAACAAAUGAGUGUAAUGAGUAAAAAAGUGUUUAAAGUAUUUUUUAGAGUACAAAUAGCUCCACCUUAAUAAAUGAGUUCUUGUAAAAAUUGAGAUUAUUGAUAUAAUUAUUAAAUAGGUUGGAUUGAAGUUAGUUUAAUUUUGACAAGAUAAUAAGACGACGCGACACAAAUACAACCAACCAGUCAACCCAAAUUGCAACCUUUUACUAAUAAAAGAUACCUGUUUGAAAAGUAAUUAUAAGCUAUCUUCUUUGUGUUAUUUCUCUAAAAAUUUGCGGCACAAAUAUUAUUUCCAUGGAGAAAAGUACGAAAUACCCGCUUUCACUUCAGCAGAAGCAAAGCAAAGCUAUGAGCCAUCUCUGUAUAAUUGAAACGCCAUUGCUAAACGGUUCUUGAUGAUGGGUGCCACCGUGCCAGCGUUGUCGCUGAUUUGCAUGAUUUAUUAGUUGUUCAGAUGGCGGAUUUUGUACUGUCACUUUCAUUUCAUUCUUGAGAGCCACGUACAAUACUAGGUGGCAUUGAAGUUGCCCCAGUGGUUAGUUUUCUGAUUUUUUUUAAUUCAAAUUUUUAUGUUUUAGAAAAAUGUAAGAAAUAUGUAGAAAUGUUGACAGCUACAAUUUUGAAACUUUGCCUAAAAUUAUUAUCGUUGCUUAUUGUUUCUUAGCUAAAGAGAAAUCCUAGAAACAUGAAAUUAUUAUUCUAUGCUUGUUUUAAUAUUAUACAUUAGCAGGUUAAUUAAAAAUUAGACGUGAAUACAACAAGAGAUAAGUGGAGAGAAUUUGGUAGUCGACCGCAUUUAGAAUUUAAUUUUUCUUUUAGCUGCCGAUCAUUAAAUUUUAUAUUUCAGAAAAUUAUACCUAGAAUAUUUCAAGGAUAUACUACGAAGAUUAUGAAGGUUUGAUUACAUGUCACUAUCAAUUGCCUCAAUCAUUUGUAGUAAAUUAAUUAAUCAUUUUGCUGCAAAUGAUUUCCUAUUAAAAAAUUCAAGUCAGAGCUGAAUUGCACAGUAGUUAGUCGUGCUUGCAAUUCAAAUCAAGUAUUGUAUUUUCUGCCUGAUUUGGUUGAUUCAACUAUGUGCAUUUGCAUAAUGGAGAUGCUUAUGAACGUUGUAGUAUAGAAAUCGAAACGUCUUGUCUUUUGCUAAGCCCAGAAGCAAAGUUCUUUGUAUUAUACUCAUCAGUUUUCUUCGUUCUCUUCGUUGAAAUUUUAUCCAAACAGCGGUUUCUUCGAAUUUUUGCCCUCUCUUACAUUUUUAAAUCUAUCAAAGAACGGUUACCUGAGAAGAUUGCCAUCAGGUAUUUCGAAAUUGAUUUCACUACAAUACCUUAAUCUAUCAGAUUUUAAUCUAUCAGAUGCUCCCGUCACUCAGUUGCCAAAAGUGACAAAAGCCUUAGUAAAUUUUUAGAGUAAAAACUCAUUUAUUCCUUAUAUUUUAAGAUUAGUAUCUAUUUAGUCCUUAUAUUUUGAAAAAUACCUUGAAACAUCACUGCCAUUAAAGUAUUGAUACCCUUACCGUUACUUUUUAUUUAUUUUGGCUUAUUUUUACAAUAUUACCCUUUAAUAAUAAUUUUUUUGUUUAGACAUUAAUAAAAAUAAAAUAAUUAAAUUACCAAUUUAAUCCUAAAAAAUAAAAAUAAAAAUUUAUAUUAAUUUUUAAUUGUAAAAAAUUGUAUGCAAACUACCAAAUGUGCAAACGGUGCUUGCAAAAAAAUUAAUAUAAAUUUUUUAUUUUUAGGGUUAAAUUAGUAAUUUAAUUAUUUUAUUUUUAUUAAUGUCCAAAAAAUUAGUAAUUUAAUUAUUUUCUUUUUAUUAAUGUCCAAAAAUUAUUAUAAAAGGGUAAUAUUAUAAAAGUAAGCUAAAAGAAAUGAAAAGUAACGGUAGGGGUAUCAAUACUUUAACGGUAGGGAUGUUUCGAGGUAUUUUUAAAAAUAUAAAGAGUAAAUGGACACUAAUAUUAAAAUACAGGGACUAAAUAAGUUUUUAUCCUAAAUCUUUAAGUGUUUGAAUUGGAGUACAUAAAUUAUCUCUCUACAAUUCAAAAACAACAGAUUUGUUACUUUUCAACGCUACAGGUUCCGCGAAUAUUCAGUUGUGGUUAUCUUGUUGAAACACCAGAAAAUAGCGUUCUAUUUGGUGGUAAUGAAUUCUUGGUUGGGGAGUUACUUAGUUUAAAACAUUUAAAUGUAUUAAGCAUCGCCUUAAAAGGUUUUUCUACCGUCCAAAAAUUUAUGAGCUCCCAAAAGUUUCAAAGUUGUACAAAAUGUUUGGAGCUUAUAGACAGUGAUGAUUCAAAGUCGUUUGCCAUGGCAGAGUUGAAGCAUCUUGAAAAACUAGGUAUUUCAAAUUGUGGAAAUUUGGAAGAGUUUAAGUUCUGCUGUGUCGAAGUUGGAAAAACUUGAGAAGAUUUUUGUUUGAACAGCCUUCACCAAGUUAAGAGAAAGGCUUGUCAUAAAUUGAGGGAAGUGACAUGGCUUGUGUUUGUACCAAAUCUUAAGGUUAUUCAGAUAGAAAAAUGUAUGGAGAUGGAGGUUGUUGGGAAAGAGACUACCACAAGCAGCUAAAAAUUAAGCGAAUACAAAAUUCUUUCUCUCUUUGUGUGAUUAAAAUAGGAUGUGCACCACAAACAAAUAAGCAGAAAAAUAAACCAAUAAAUGCAAAGCAAAAACCAACCACAAGAGACACCGAUUUUUAAGUAGAAAAUUUAAAUUGGGAAAAAUCACAGGAUAGUAGUCUGAUAUAAACUUCUACUAUAUUAAUGAGAUUACAACACAAAUUCUUCUCCAGAUAAUACUAGAUGCUAACAAUAUUAAAAUUCUCAACAAUCUUAGUUUAUAAUAAUAGAUCUAAAAUCUAUUUCUUCAAUAAGUGAGUAUCUCAAAUAAUAGCUACUGAGAGAAUAAAAUACAGAUCAACACCAGUAGAAAUAUAGAGGGCAAUGUCAGGAACUUACCCUCCAAAUUUAGGACUAAUCAGAGCUAAAAUAACCUUUUGAUUGUUGAAUCAAAGAUUGAAAACCAAAAAAAAAAAAAAUAUCUCUUUCUCUCGCAGUGUCUUCUCACUUUCGCAAAAUGUCUACAGCUCUCGCGAUUCUUUACUUAUUUCCUUAGUUAAUUUCAUCCAAGUCCAAAAUUUUACAAUAAUUACACAUCAAGCAAAUUAUUUUGGACUUUGAACUUUUUGGUCCACUGAAGUGAAAUGGACCUUACAAAUCUCCCCCUCCAUCUCAUCUAAGGGGCACCACCAAGCCCGCUCUCUACUUACAGCUUUCCAGCUUCUCCUUGGGUAAUGACUUUAUCAUCAUAUCUGAUGCAUUCUUCGUUGUGUGAAUUUCUCCAAGCUGCAACUGUUUCUACUCAAGCACGUCUUGUAUCCAAUGAUACUUCAUAUCAAUAUGCUUCGAUUUCAAAUGAUAUGUUGAAUUCUUUGCCAAGUGGAUGACACUUUAACUGUCACAGUACACAACAUAACUAUCUUGAUUAACACCUAGUUCUUGUAGAAAAUUCUUCAUCCACAAGGUUUCUUUGUAACUUUCAGUGAUUGUAAUAUACUCUACUUCUGUAGUAGACAAAGCAACACACUACUAAAGUCUAGACUGCCAUGAAACUGCUCCUCCUACAUAGGUGAGCAAAUAUCUUGAUAGAGACUUUCUAGAAUCAACAUCUCCUGCCAUAUAUGCAUCCGUAUCUACUUGUAAUAUAGGUUUGUCACCACCAAAACAUAAACAUGCCUUGGAAGUGCCUCUGAGAUAUAUGACAAUCUACUUUACUGCUGUCCAGUGUUUUUUACCCAGAUUAGAGGAAAACCAGUUGACUACCAACUGUUGAAGCGUACCUCAAACUACCAACUGUUGAAGCAUAAAAAACUCUUUUUAUCUCUUGCUUCUCUUUCUCACUUAUGGGACAAUGCUUGAAACUAAGCUUGAAAUGACCUGCAAGUGGAAAAUAAACAUAUUUUGCUUUGUCCAUAUUAUAUCUUUUAAGAACUUUUUCAACAUAUGCUUCCUGAGAUAACCAUAAAUUCCCAGUUUUUCUGUCACGAGAAAUCUUCAUGCCAAGAAUUUGUUUCGCCGAUCCCAAGUCCUUCAUUACAAAAGACUUGCUAAGCUCUCUCUUCAAAUUGUCAAUCUUACUAGUAUCCUUGCCAACAAUCAACAUGUCAUCCACAAAAAGUAAAAGAAUAAUAAAAUCAUUAUCACUAAACUUUUUCACAAACAUACAAUGAUCACACAUUGUCUUGCAAAAGCCAUGAUUCUCCAUAAAAGAAUCAAACUUCUUAUACCACUGUCUUGGUGCAUGUUUCAGCCCAUAUAAAGUUUUUUUCAAUUUGUACACAAGUUCUUCUUUACCUUUGACACUGAACUCUUCAGGUUGUUAUAUGUAUAUUUCCUCCUUUAAGUCAUCGUGUAAGAAAGCAGUCUUUACAUUGAAUUGUUCAAUUUCCAAAUCCAAGCUAGCUACUAAUCCCAGAGGUGCUUGCUCAAUUGGUUCUGCUGGACCAUUAUUAUUAUCCUCUCCAGCUCCCCUAUGAUCAUCAUGAACAACAUGUGGAGAAACCGAAGUUGGAAUAAUAAGAAUCUCUGGAGAUGGCUGAGACUUAUCAUUUUUUUUUCAUCACCAACUAUCUAAUUUUUAAGAAACACAACAUCUCUAAUUCUGAUUACUUUUCUUGUCACUGGAUCCCAUAAUCUGUACCCAAAUUCUUCAUGUCCAUAGCUUAAGAAAAUACAUUUCUUGGCUUUAUCAUCAAGUUUUGAUCUCUCAUCUUUAGGGAUAUGAACAUACACUCUGCACUUAAACACCCUCAAGUGUUUAUAAGAAACAUCUUUCCCAAUCCAAACUCUUUUAGGUACAUCGUCAUCUAAUGGAGCUUAAGGAGAAAGAUUAAUCAAAUCAACUACAGUACGCAUAGCCUCCGCUCAGAAGGAUUUAUAAAGCUUGGCAUCAGAAAACAUACAUCUGACUAUCUUUUCAAUUGUUCUGUUCAUUAUUUCUGCAACACCACUCUGCUGAGGGGAUUUUGGUACAGUUUUCUUAAGUUUGAUUCCAUGAGAUCUGCAAUACUGCUCAAAUGGUCCUCUGUACCCACCAUCAUUUUCUGCCCUGACACAUUUCAAUUUUUUUCUUGUCCCUCUCUCAACAUAAGCACGAAAGAAUUUAAACAUAGUAAGCACGAAAGAAUUUAAACAUAUCAAGCACUUAAUCUUUAGAUUUUAAAGCAAAAGUCCAUACUUUUCUAGAACAAUCAUUAAUAAAAGUCAUAAAAUAAAGUGCACCUCCUAUUGAUCUAUUUUGCAUCAUGCAAAUAUCAAUGUGAAUCAAAUCAAGGAUUUGUGACUUUCUAGAUGGAGAAAAGCUUUUAAAAGUUACUUUAUGUGCCUUUCCAGCUAAACACUAAACACAAGUCUUGAGGGACGUACCUACAAAGCUUGGUAGAAAUCCUUUUUUGGCAAGAGUUCCUAACCCUUUCUCACCAAUGUGACCAAGCCUUUUAUGCCAUGUCUCAAUGUCAGAAUUGUUUACAGCCAUAUUCAUAUAUUCUUUCUUGAUUUUGGCUUCUAUUACGUAGAGGGUGUUCAUUUUCUUUCCUUUAGCCAACACUAGAGAGCCUUUGGUGAGCUUUCAUUUUCCUUCACCAAAUUAGUUAGUAUAACUAUCAUCAUCAAUUUUUCUUGUGGAGAUCAAAUUAAGACGAAUAUCUAGUACAUGCAAGCUUUUUUGUGGAGAUCAAAUUAAGGCGAAUAUCUAGUACAUGUCUGACAUCUUUAAGGAGUAGCUUAUAGCCAACACUGGUUUGAAGCAAAUAUCUCCUAUGCCCACAAUCUUGGAUGCCCCCUCAUUUCCCAUCCGAACAUGGUCAUAAUUACCAUUAACAUAGGAUGUGAAGUAAUCAUGAUGUGCAGUUGUUGUGCAAAUUUUAAUGUACUCGCAAGCGCACGAAUCUAUUGUAGUAUAGAUCAAUGGUGACGAGUGUCGAUCCCACGAGGAGGUGGAUUUUAAUUGUGUAUAGAAUUAAUUUUGCAAAUGGUUGAUUGGAUUUGUGGUGGAAAUGAUUUGGAAUAUGCUAAAACUUAAAUUAAAAUGGCGAGAAUAAAUUCUAAAAUUGGAAUUGAAAUUGCGAGAAUAAAGUUGAAGAGAAUUCUAUUGAAAUGACGUACUUGGGUAUCUGGAUCCGUAUCAACAUGCAUCAUGGGCUAAAUAAUGCGUAUUAAUGCCAAUUAAAUCAUGAGGGGGGAAUCCACACCUCAUGAACCACGCUCUAAUCAAUAUGGUGCUAAGGGCUUAUCGUGCCAAAUAAUAAUAACCUUGUACUAGAGAGCCGGUGUAACCAAGGCGGUACUAGACAAGAUUAGUAUUAUUUGUCGACGAGAAGUCAAAACAUCCACAAAAACUAGAGGGGAAGAGAAAAUAAAUUUACCAAAUAAAGCCCAUGACACAUGUUGAGACUUCACCUUCAACCCAAGCUUAAAAGAAAAUUAGCUACUCAUAAUUGAACUAAGGGCAAAAUGGGAAUUUAUUAAAAUACGAAGAAAAUACAAGAUAGAGAGGGAAUUACAGAAAAUGGAUCCCAAAAAUGGAUUCAGAGAUAUCAAAUUAGGGGGGGAGGCCCCCUUUUUAUAGAUACAUGGAGUAAAUCAUGGCAAUCGGAUUAAAAACAGUUUGGACGCUCAGGAUUGCGCCACGUCAUCAGUCAACAGUCCACGGUUUGACCACGCGGAUGAACAGUAAUACGGUUUGACCCAUAUGAACAGUACGCGGUUUGACCCGGAUGAACAGUAACGCGGUUUGGUUGAAAAUAAUCCUGUGUGAUGCAUGCACCGUACGCGAGAUUUUUUGUCCACUGAUAUGCUGCCACGUCACCAUCAACAGUACAUAAGAAUUUUAGUCCAACAGGAUCGUGACACCUCAUCAGUCAAUGCCACAUCAUCGAUCCGUCUAUGUGAGCAGUGCCGUGAACAGUAACAUAUACAGUACCGUAUACGUGAAUAGUACCGUACAUGUGAAUAGUGCUAUUUUUCCUUUUAUGCUCCUCCUAAGGUUUUCGACCGUCCUGAGUUCAAAAGUGAUGUCCGUUUUACCGUCUGAUCUCUCCUUUAUUGUGAAAUCACUAUAAUACCACUAAAAUACAUAAAAUACUUAAUUAAAAUAAAACACAUGUAAUUAAAUCACAAGAAGGUUAAAUACAUAAAAGUAAGGGUUGUUAGUAAGACUUGAAAUGUAAAAUGAUGGUUUUCUCCUUUAUAAAUAUGCAUUUUCUAACACUCAACAGCAGUAACCACGAUGUGCAGUAACAUCAAACGAAGCACCCGAAUCAAUCACCCAAUUACUGGUAUGGCAAGUAAGAUUUAUAGAGCUAUCAUUAUAAGCAAUGCCCAUAUCACCAUUAAUUACGGCUGUAACAUUCUCUUUGUCAUUUUUCUGACCAUCGCCUUUUUCUUUCGCAUGUUCUCUUUUCCACAAUUUACACUACCUUUUUACAUGGCCCAUUUUCUGACAAUGAAAGCACUUAGCUUCUCCUAUGGGACUUAGAUCUUCCUCCAGGGUUAUCAUUAUUCUGAUGACGGAAAUUUCUGCUUCGACUUCUCCCCCGUCUUUUUUGGUUUUCUGAAACAAGUGUAGCUGACUCAGAGGGAACUACUUCAGCAUUCUUUCUUCGAGAUUCUUCAUUCCGCAGUCUAUCUGUAACCAUAUCCAAGUUUAAUUUACCAUUCGGUGCCGAAUUAUUCACUGACACCACUAAUGUCUCCCAACUAUCAGGUAAAGAACUAAGCAACAACAAUGCUUGUAACUCGUCAUCUAGAAUAAUCUUCAUAGUAGUCAACUGAUCAACCAAACCCUGAAACUCACUAGUGUGUUCAGUAAUACUGUGGCCUUUUUUAUAUUUCAAGUUAACAAGCCUUUUCAUUAGAUUGACUUUAUUUUGUGCUGUUGGCUGCUCAUAAAUUAUUUCUAAUUUUCUCCAAAGAACAUCAGCCUUGGAUUCCUUCGCGACAUGAUGGUACACACUCUGAUCAAUCCAUGACCUAAUAGUGCCCACGGCUUUCUGGUUCAAUUGAGCCCAUUUCUUAUCAUCUAUAUCAACAAGUUUAACUUCAUCACCUUCAAUAGGUUCAUGUAAGUCUUUCAUGUAGAGCAAAUCUUUCAUUCUAGACUUCCAAAUAUCAUAAUUCCACGACUCAAUUUAAUCAUGAACGCCAAAGACUCCUCUAUUUCAACCACAUAAGUAAUAAAAACACACAACCUGGCUCUGAUACCACUCUAUUGGGAAAACGACUACCACAAACAGCUACAAAUUAAGCGAAAAUAAAAUUCUUUUCCUCUUUGUGUGAUUAAAAUAGGAUGUGCACCAUAAACAAAUAAGCAGAAAAAUUAAUCAAUAAAUUCAAAGCAAAAAUCAACCACAAGAGACACCGAUUUUAACGUGGAAAAUUCAAAUCGGGAAAAACCAUGGGACAAUAGUCCGAUAUAAAUUUCCACUAUAUUAAUGGGAUUACAGUACAAAUUCUUCUCCAGAUAACACUAGAGGUUAACAACAUCAAGAUUUUCAACAAUCUUGGCUUACAAUAAUAGAUCUAAAAUCUAUUUCUUCAAUAAGUGAGUAUCUCCAAUAACAGCUAAUGAGAGAAUAAAAUAUAGAUCAACACGAGUAGAAAUGUAAAGGGCGAUGUCAGGAACUUAUCCUCCAAAUUUGGGAGAAAUCAAAGCUAAAAUUAUUUUUCGAUCGUUGAAUCAAAGAUUGAAAACCCAAAGAAAAAAAAUAUCUUUUUCUCUCGCAACGUCUUCUCACUUGCGCGAAAUGGCUACAUCUCUCGCGAUUAUUCACUUAUUUCCUUUAUAUUUUUUUUGGUUAAUUUCAUCCAAGUCUAAAAUUUUACAAUAAUUACACAUCAAGCAAAUUAUUUUGGACUUUGGGCUUUUGGUCCACUGAAGUGAGAUGGACCCUACAGAAGCAAUAAUCAGUGCAAGAAAAUUAAGUGAAGUUCCAGAGAUGAUGGCAGAUCUAAACCCUUUUGUAAAACUCCAAUAUCUUGGCCUCCGAAUUCUACCAAAAUUAAAAAAGCGUCUAUUGGAAUGUGUUGCCCUCUCCACAUGUCAGGGAAAUUUUUGUAUCUGAAUGCCCAAUUCUCAUUAGAGGAGAGGAACACUGGUGGAAUAAGUUGCAAUGGGAGGAUGAAGCAACCUAUAAUGCUUUUCUUCCUUGUUUUGGAUCCAUUUGAUGGGCAUCAACAUGGAUUAAUAUUUUGCAGCGAACCAAUUUGAAUAAAACUUACGGUAAGUGCUUUUCCAUUUAUUGCAUAUUUAUAUCUAAUUUUUGUUUUCCUUUAUGGUUAAAUUUUGCCCUGUAUAUGUUGUUGUACGGUGACAUUCUUGAAUCAAUUAUUAAUUUUUUUAAUUCUCGUCUCACAACCACCCUUUUGAUCAUGAGGAUAUGCCGAUAUCAAAGAGUCAUAAUUUGGGAUACAAAUGUAAGAAUUAGGCAGAUGACAUGUUGUUUCAAAGCUUUCGAAGAAGGACUAAAUAUGUCAUUGAAAGCCUCCAAUUUUGCGACUGAUUUUUUUUUAAUUUGUUAUUUUUAUAGGUGGCAAAAAUACCCGUCUGAUUUGGACUCGGCUGAUUUGGGCCGGGUACGGAGUAUGAAGCCGGGUUGGUCCUGGGCAUCACUUGAAACUCGGAACCUGGAUUUUAUUAAAAAAUAUUAUAAAUAUAUAUUAUUUUAAAUAUCUAUAUUUAUUAGACUCAUCUAUUACAUAUAUCUAAUUUCAUUGAAAUAAAUUUAAAAAUUAUAAAAUUACCAAUAUAUAUAUAUAUAUAUAAUAUUAAAAAAGUAUAAAAUCUGAGUCCUCAGAUUAAAACCCAGUUCAAGUGUCUAAAAAAUACAUGUGGACCGAGUUUGAACAUUGCGAUACCCAGACCCAAACUUGGGUUUUGCCAACCCUAGUCUUUUAAAUUGCUUGAUUGUAAUGUUUUAGUAUAGAAAAAUGAUAGCCAAGACAACAAUAAGAGGGCACAUUGUGCAUGCACAAUAGUGGAUAAUUUCGGCAUUCCAAAUCCAAUUAGGGUGGAUAACCUUUUAUUAGUAUUAACCUUCUCUCGUAUUCAAGUAAUGUAAAAUAUGCUUAGAAGCUGUGGAUCCCCCUUUAUAAGUGUUGGGCUUAUGCCAAACUCGAUUGAUGUGGGAUGCCUUUAUAGGCAUCAAGUUUUCUCCCAUACACUUUAUGUUAAAAAUAAUAAUGAUAAAAUAAAUCCAUUUUAAAAUAGACUUCUUUUUCUUUUCUAUAUAAACAAACUCAUUCUUCAAAUCAGUUGUGGGUGGAAGGAGUGAGUAGAGAAGAACUGGGCCCCUUUCGUUCCUCUAAAAACCUCACCAAACCUCUCUUGUAAGCUUCUCAGUGUCCCUCUCAAUAUUUCUUAUGAUCUCGUUUUUUAUUGAAUCACUUCUUUUGUGUGCUGCAUUUUUGUGUGUCGUAUUUGGGUUUAUCUUAUCUGGAAUCCUGUUAUGAUUGAUGGAACAAGUAAUCGAUUUUUGGUUUAUUUGGAAUGGAAUUAUGGUUUAUUUGGAAUGGAAUUAUCUGGGUGUAACGGAUUAAAUUAUGACAUUGGGGAGAAGGCACUAAGGGGUUUGCUUGACACAUUUGGUUCUGUGUUUACUCUGAAAGAAAUAGCUUUUGCUUAUCGUAAUGCAAGGCGAAAUCCCGAUUUGGGUGGUGAAUUUCUCUAUCCCAAUUGGGCUGGUGAAUUUCUCUGUGACAAAUAGGCAAACAGCUCAACCUCUUUUAUCUAUCUUCUACUAGUGAGGCAAGGGAUAAAAAGUCUUCAAAAUCAUCAAAUAGUAACAUCUUCGAGAAUUCAUUUUAUGCAAAUGGAAAAUCUAGACCUUCUAAGACAAAAUGGCGUCCAGUAUCAAGAGGUACCGUUUCAAGUUUUCUUGGUAAAAAUUAUGUAAACUUGCACAGCCAGCUAAUGGCACUUUUCUAGUUUUCUGGCAUCAAAGCCAUUGAAGUCGUAUCCAAAGGAGUUUCCCAUGUCUGCACUUUGUGGAGAAGGAACUAAACAAAAACAAUCAAAGGAUGACCAUUUGCAGAAGGAUGUGGAAGAUUUUCUGUUUAAAUUGCUAGGAGAAGUGUUCCAGCUGAAUAGGGAUGUGAUUCGGGAAGUUCCAGUAAUGUCUUAAAUAUGUUGAUGCCAAUUUAAUAUAUAUUGUCAUUUUCAAUGUUCUUUCUUUCUUUCUUUAUCUUCUUUUCUUCUACUUCUUCUUCUUUUUCUUUUCGUGUGCAUGUGAUCACUAAUUUGUUAUUAUACUUAACUUGCAGGUAGUUGUGGAUAUGAUAUGCAAAAGGUAAGGACUAUAUCUUCCUGAUAGAGGCCUCUGCUUUUUCCCUUUUAUGUAAUUUAGUAAAUCUCAUCUCCCUUUGUGAUUGUUAUAUCAUAUCAAAGUCAAGUCUUAAAUACUGCUGUCAUAUGUUAAGGUUCAACUUGCAUUUUGACUAACAUCCAUUUGUUGUCGCUUCCAAAAGUGAGAAUGAGAUACUUCGGUUAAUUUCAGUAGUUGAACCCAAUCGAGUACUUUAUCUAGAUCUUCAUGGUUCAAAGGCCUGAAACUUGCCCGUGAUUGUAAAAUGAUAUUAUGUGCUUUUAAUGCAAUAGGGGGAACAAGGUGUCAAAGGAAUUAGCAGAUUCUAUGGCAGAUUCUAUGCCUGUACAACUGUAACAAUUAUCCUUAUGAUUGUAAAUCUUAUAUGUUUUCCUUAUUUAGGAUAUACUAGCUGUAGGCUAUUUUAGAUAGUUAUGUAUAUGAUAGUUUAGCUAUGUUUAGGGCUAAACAUAAGCUUGUAUUCAUAGUAUAUAAAGGGAAUUCUCUUCUAAGAGAAAGCAUAACUUUUGCUCAAAAUUCUCUGAGUUUAUCAUGGUAUCAGAGCCUCAGUUCUGAAUUCUCUUCUUCCUAGUUCAUUCCCUUGUUCUUAGUUAUUCUUUUUUUUAUCAAGUUAUCUCAGCCUCAUGUCUUCAGACAAGUAUGAUGCUUUUUUGAUCCGUUUUAAUGGCACAAACUACUCAGCCUGGGCAUUUCAUUUCGAGAUAUUUGUCAAAGGCAAAGAUCUAUGGGGACAAGUUGAUGGCAGGAAACCUGCCCCUGAUAAAGAGAUAGACCAGGAUGGGUACGCCAAGUGGGAAGUCAAGGAUGCUCAAAUCAUGGCAUGGAUUCUAGGAUCUGUGGAAUCCAACUUCAUCUUGAAUCUUCGACCCUUCAAGACUGCAGCAGGAAUGUGGAAUCAUCUAAAGAAACUCUACAGUCACACCAACACUGCUCGUUGAUUUCAGCUUGAACAUGAGCUAGCCAAUCUCCAACAAGGCAGUCUCUCUAUUUCUGAUUUUUAUUCUAUCUUUAUGAUUAUUUGGGCUGAAUAUACUGAUAUAAUCUAUGCUACCUUACCUCCGAAGGUCUUAGUUUUGUUCAAUCUGUACAUGAAACUACUAAGAGAGAUCAAUUUAUGAUAAAACUGAUAUAUGAAUUUGAAAGCACUAGGUCCAAUCUUAUGAAUUGAGAAUCUGUCCCUUCCUUGGAUACAUGCCUCAAUGACUUAUUUCAUGAGGAGCAACGACUUCUUACUCAAAAUACCAUGAAACAAAAAAAAUCUACUUCUGUUCCUAUGGCUUAUGCAGCUCAAGGCAAGCCAAAAGGUAAGGACAUCAGUAUAGUUCAAUGUUUUUGUUGCAAAGGAUUUGGACAUUACGCUUCAAAUUGUUCAAAAAAAUUAUGCAACUAUUGCAAAAAAGAUGGACAUAUCAUUAAGGAAUGCCUUACUCGACCCCCCAAGAAAUCUGAAACAACAUAUGCUACCUCAGUUGGUUCUUCUAGUGAUGGUAGUUCUGUGGAUACAGCACAUUUGACCCAAAGUGCUCCUGUUCCUGUUCAAUCUGUGACCCCAUAAAUGAUUCAACAAAUGAUCAUUAUUGUAUUCUCCUCAUUAGGACUCUCAGGUAAAUCACCCACUAGAUCUCCUUGGUACUUUGAUUCUGGGGCUUCCCAUCACAUGACAAACAAUGCUAAAUUCUUCACCAAUGUAAGUAAAUACCUUAGAAAUCUAAAAAUUCAUACAGCUGAUGGCAACUCUUUACCUAUCACAGCCACUAGUGAUGUUUCUUUUUCUAUAACCAAUGUCUUUGUCUCUCCUGGUCUUCCUACUAAUCUUGUUUCAAUCGGUCAGUUAGUUGACAAUAAUUGUAAAGUAGAAUUCUCUAAAUCUAGUUGUGUUGUGCAGGAUCAGCAGUCAGGGAAGAUGAUUGCCAGGGGGCCUAAAAUAUGACGUCUUUUCCCUCUCCAAUUUGCUAAGUCUCCAUGUUUCUCUUUGCCUAUCAUCACUUGCAAUUUUACUAAGGUUAAUUAUCGAGCAUGGCAUAAACGUCUAGGACACCUAAACUCUAAUGUAUUUUAUGCUUUGCUAAAUUCUGGUUUACUUGGGAAUAAAAGAUCACCAUCCCUUAGUGUUGUUCAAUUUGAUUGCAAUUCUUGCAAGCUUGGAAAAAGUAAAAUUCUGCCAUUUCCCACUCACACACCGAAUGUUGUCCAGCCUUUUGAUUUGAUACAUAGUGAUGUGUGGGGUAUGGCGCCUGUUACAUCUCAUGCUAAUUACAAGUACUUUGUCACUUUUAUUGAUGACUAUAGUCGCUUCACAUGGAUUUAUUUUCUACAUUCUAAAGAUGAAGUGUUCUCUGUUUUCAAGCUUUUUCAUGCAUAUAUUCAGACCCAAUUUUCUACUAAUAUCAAAAUUCUUUGCUUUGAUAAUGGGGGUGAGUAUAUGUCUCAUUUAUUUUAAGAAUUUUUGCACACCAAUGGUAUAAUUUCUCAAAGAUCUUGUCCUUCAACCCCUCAACAAAAUGGGGUGGCUGAAAGAAAGAACUAUCACCUUCUCGAUGUUGUCUUCAUUUGUACCCUCUCGUUUUUGGUGUGAAGCUUUCUCCACUGUUGUCUAUCUCAUCAACAGAUUGUCCUCUCAUUCCUUGAACCAUGUCUCCCAUUUCUUUCAGUUAUUUGGCCAUACACUAAGUUACUCUCAUCUCCAUACCUUCAGUUGUGUGUGCUAUGUUCAUCUUCCUCCAUAUGAGCGUACAAAACUCACAGCCCAAGCUGUGAAAUGUGCUUUUCUAGGAUAUUUUAUGCACUAAAAAUGUUUUCUUUGUUAUGAUCCAAAUUUGCAUCAUAUAAGGGUUUCUCGAAAUGUGAUUUUCUUUGAAAAUCAGUAUUUCUUUUCCGCAUACCACGACGAUUCUUCGCCUUCAUUUUCUGUUUUGCCAAAGUUUACUAACCCUUCUGCAGAUUCUGCACCUUCUAAACCUAUCAUAGUCUAUCAGCGACGCAAGAAUUUAGUACCUCUCGGGCCCCCUCCAGCAACUUCCCUGAAUGUUGAUCCAGUUCCAGCAACUGCACCUGAACCUUUCAGACAUAGUACUCGGGUUCGUAGACCACCAGAUAGGUAUGGUUUCACCUCUCCAUUAUUUUUGACAGCCACUUUGUCUUCUAUUCUUAUUCCUUCAUCAUAUAAACAGGCAAUAGAGCAUGAAUUUUGGUGAAAAUCUAUUGAAUCAGAACUUCUUGCACUUGAAGAAAACCAAACUUGGGAUAUUGUUUCAUGUCCUCCAUCCGUGAAACCCCUUAGUAGUAAGCUAGUGUUUUCUAUCAAGCUGCGUUUUAAUGAAUCCAUAGAUCGUUACAAGGCUCGGUUGGUGGUUCUUGGCAACAAGCAAGAAUAUGGCCUAGACUACGAUGAGACCUUCGCGCCGGUAGCCAAAAUGACCACUGUUCGAACAAUAUUAGCCCUUGCUGCAUCACAAUCAUGUUCUUUACAUUAAAUGGAUGUAAAGAACGCUUUCCUACAUAGUGAUCUCAAGGAGGAAAUUUACAUGAAACUUCCCCACGGUAUGACUACUUCCUCUCCUAAUGAUGUUUGCAAACUAAAAUGUUCGUUGUAUGGGUUGAAGCAAGCACCGCGAGUAUGGUUUGAGAAGUUUCGAUCAACUCUUUUCAGUUUUUCAUUCACUCAAAGUCAGUAUGACUCCUCCUUUUUUUUUUCCAACAGACAUCUAAGGGCAUCAUUGUUCUCCUUAUUUAUGUGGAUGACAUCGUUAUCACUGGUUCUGAUAUGGAGGCAAUUUCUAAACUUCAGAAUUUGUUGCACUCUAUUUUUCACAUGAAAGACCUCGGUCAACUCACCUAUUUUUUGGGGUUAGAGGUGCAUUAUCUGCCUCAAGGUAUCUUCUUGAAUCAACACAAGUAUAUUCAGGAUUUAAUUUAAUUAGCUGGACUUAUGGACAAAAAUUCUGUUGACACCCCAGUGGAACUUAAUGUGAAAUAUCGACAAGACGAAAGGGAACUACUUCAAGAUCCUACUUAUCUAUCUAACUAUCACCCGCCCAGACAUCUCUUAUGCUGUCCACACCGUUAGCAAGUUCAUGCAAGCCCUUCGACAUCUCCACGUAUCCACAGUCCGCCGCAUCAUUAGAUAUAUUCUUGGCACUCUUAACUGCAGUUUAUUCUUCCCUACUGGUUCUUCACUCCAACUACAAGCCUACAAUGACGCAGAUUGGGCUAGCUGCCCGGACACGAGAAAAUCUACUUUGGGAUGGUGCAUGUUUCUUGGUGAUGCCCUUAGCUCUUGGAAAUGCAAAAAGCAAGACUCAGUCUCCAAAUAAUCCACUGAGGCAGAAUACCGCGCCAUGUCUGUAGCCUGCUCCAAGAUCAUUUGGUCGCGUGGUCUCUUAACAGAGCUUGGUUUCUCACAACAUCAACCUACUCCCCUACAUGCUGACAACACAAGUGCCAUCCAAAUUGUAGCCAACCCUGUCUACCAUGAGCGCAUGAAACACAUAGAGGUUGACUGCCACUCUAUUCGAGAGGCCUAUGACCACCAAGUUAUCACCCUCCUGCAUAUCUCCACUACUCUACUGAUUACGAAUAUCUUCACCAAAUCCAUGACAUGUCAGCGACAUAACGUUCUUGUUAGCAAAUUGAUGCUUGUAGAUUUACCAGCAUCAAUUUGAGGGGGGAUGUCAAAGGAAUUAGUAGAUCUUAUGGCAAAUUCUAUGCCUGUACAGCUGUAACAAUUAUCUUUAUGGUUGUAAAUCUUAUAUUUUUUCCUUAUUUAAGAUAUACUAGCUGUAGGCUAUUUUAGAUAGUUAUGUAUAUGGUAGUUUAGCCAUGUUUAUGGCUAAACAUAAGCUCGUAUUCAUAGUAUAUAAAGGGAAUUCUCCUCCAAGAGAAAGCAUAUGAAAGAAACUUAGUUCUAUAUUGUUUGGUAGGCUAGAAAAUGAAAGAAAAUAAAAGAAAAGCUUUGCAAAGAAAACUGUUAGAUCCUUUUAUUAUACCAAACUUACAGUUUAAUGACUAAAAAUUGAUAUUUAUAUUGAGCUACAAACUCUUCACACACACACACGAGAUUGUUGCAACACAUAACCAAUUGCUGUAUAACUAACUUGACACAUCAGCUCAACCAGCUAACUAACUUUGACAGGUCAGCUUAAUGAUUUGAUCUGAUACAACCAGCUACACAGCAACAUCAUGCUCUGCUCCAGCUUCAUCUAAUUCACUAACAACUUUUGCUCAAAAUUCUCUUAGUUUAUCACAGGGAAGUAUAGCUUUGGAAAAGGCCGGAUCAAUAACUAUGGAGAGAUUUAUAAGUGAUAAAAAUUCCCGUAACCCGCUGUCAAGAAAAUUUCACAUAGUUAAAGACGCCAUUUUGUUUCAGCCAAAAAUGUUUGUUUAAUCUGCCAAAAAUGUUUGUUUCGAUUAAAGACUUGAACCGUUUUCAUUUAACCUGAUUGUGAUGCUUUAUGUUAUGUAUGUUCCUCUCAAUCAAGAAAAGUUGAGGUUCAUGAUUUUAUAUUUCUAUCUUGUAACUUGCAAUAAUAACUGGUCUUCUUGUUUUUGUAGCUUGAUAACAUGAAUUUUCCUUCUCAAGUUAAUUUGAUCAAUAAAGUAAUUCUUCAAAGAAAAUAUGCCCAUUCUAUAAUCAUUUUCUUAGCUAAUAUGUUUUUUUUUUGUUUACUCUUCAGAGUGUGUCGAAACUAAUUGAUUGCUCGGCAGAGACUUUGGGUGACAAGUCAAAAUUUCAUGGUAAAUCCUCUGAAAAGGUAUGCAUAAUUCCUGAAUAUUAAAUAACCAAUGGUCAUAGUUUUUGUACACGACUCUUUUUGUGGAGAUCGUUAAAAGUGGUUGAUGAUCCAUUUGUAAUUUCAUAGAGGGAUCAUCAAUUCCUUUUCUUUUCUGUGGCUAGGCAUCACUUUCGUGCCAAAGUAAGGAAAUCUAUUUUAGGUAAUGUAAAAAACAAUGGUAGGAUGUAAUAGCUUAUUAUGCACUGACAAUAACUUUUUGUAUAAUUGUCAGUUUAAGGAAUACAAGAGGAACUCUGUUGACAAAUUCAUCCAAGAUAGAUGCUAAAAUUAUUUAUGCAUGCCAGUUGCCUUAACUAAUUUUUCUUAACACUUGUAUUGAACAGGAAAUGAGUAUGCAAUUUGUGUACGUGCCAUUGUGGAGAAUUUGGAUAUUCUUAUUUAAGUAAGAAGAAGAGUAUUUGCCUCAUCUUUAAACAAUGAAUCUUUGAGAAAUGAGGAGUGGGUGAUUGGAAGUGUCUUCAUGUAAAUGUUCAUUUACUUGUAUUUUGAACUAUUAUGAGAAUCUUUUAUAUGCCAAAUUAGUAAUACAAAUGUUCAGAUGAUUUUUCCUGUUGAUCACGCGUUUGUGUCUGCAGACAACCAUUGUAUAUCACUUUAUUCUGAUGUGCAAUUAUGUAUAGAUUAGAAGAAAAGAAAUAAUAGUCUUAUAUUAUUGUUUGGUUCAUGAUUAUUAAACGAUUAUGGCUUCAAAAAAUCUACAAAUUCCUUCUGUUCAUAUAUGAAUGUGCCAAGUUUGCUAUAUCUUAGAUUGCCUUCUUCCAAGAUAACAAGUUCAUAUGUUUUUUAAUCCUCUUCAAUCACAGUUGAAUUUUAAGUGUUAAGAUUUGUUAUUAAUACCUGGUUCCCUGUUAUUAUGAUUUUUAUUAUGAUUUCAUAAACAGUGUACGGACAUGUGCUCUACUUUUAAAGGGCCUCCACGUGAAAGAAAAUUGCAACAAUUGAAUUCUUCCGGAGGGUAUGGCAUUUAAUUUAUUUUCUCAACUUCUUGUAAGACUAAUAUAUUUCCUUCAGUAGGCAGGGCAUGUUGGGAAGGGCUUUUAUUGAAAGAAUUCUGAUAUUUCUUAGACUUUGUUUUGGAAGGGAGGUGGAGGGAUUUCUCAUCCAUAUAUGGUUACUUGAUUAGCUUUUGACUGUAUUGCCUCAGUCGUGCAAAGGAAGAUCCAAAUACUAAUGAAUGAGAAUUGGUUAGAGACCCAAAAGACAGAAAUGAACUACAGAAGGAAGUUUUUGCUGCUUUAUUUAGUGUUCCUGAGAACUCUGAUGAAGAUGGAGUGGAGGUCCAAAGCAUUAAGAAAGGUGGUGAGUGAACCGCCAGAGGAAUUGGUACCAGAAUACAAAGCUAAUGUGGUGCAUUUGCAGCAAGAUAACCAGACUAGUAUGUGCUCUUGUAUUAACUAUAUUGACUGGAUUUGUGAGCAUGUUCAUUUUUGUGUGUAUAAUCACUUUUGUAUUUAUGCAUAUUAAUGUUAGUAGGAUUCUUGAUUUCCUCCACUUACUGGAGAACUAGUGGAAAGCUUUAUAGUGAAAUAUCUGCAAUAACUAAUGGAAACCAUGAUUUGAAUAUUUUCUCUCACCUGGAGAGCUUUGUAACAGAUGUACUUUGUGGCUAUGGAAUACUAGAGAUUCUGCAAUAACUAAUGGAAACUCUGAUAUGAAUAUUUUCUCUCACCUGCAGAACUUUGUAACAGAUACACUUUGUGGCUCUGGAAUGUCUAAAGAUUUUGUCUGCUUCAGUUAGAUCAAAUAUCUUUUAGUUACCUACAUUAUGGAAAAGAUAGAGUUCUCUGAAUCUGAAAGACUGAAACAUUUUGCAUAUUUCGUGAAAGGAAAAUAUCUGUAGAUACUAGUUCAUGCAUUGAGGUAACAUCAAUGUUAAAGAAAAACAGCAAUAACUUAUUAUAUAGAAUUAGGUUCACUUGCUUUAAAUGCUGGUCUGGUCAACCAUAUGAACCUGUAAGUGUAUCUGCAGAAAUAUAUAUGGGGGGACAAACUAGCUAAAUUUUCCUCUCAUUUCUGGCUUUGGUCAUUUUUUCCCCUUAUUUUUCAGCUUUCCUUCUCCUGAAGUAUGUUAACAAUUGCAGAUAAUGACGAAGAGGACAGCUUGCAGGCUCUUCGUGGAGCUGUGAUGGAAUAUAGGGGCACAAUGAAAGAACAUUUUAAAGCUGUAGGUUCUUUUUCUCCUGUCAUUUAUAUUUGCUCACACAUUUUUCAUAUGCUCCAAGCAUGCAAGUUUGUAUGUGUCUUUGCCUUUUAAGUUUUAAAAACCAUAAGGUAAGAAUACAGUUCCUCGUCAGGUUAUUGAUGCAUUCACUCCGGAGGAUCAUGUUCGAGCAGGAAAACUUCUAGAACAGGCAAGGUUUUCCAUCUACAGCCAUCUAUUGACAACAGAUACAUUUUCAUUCAGCAGACACUGUUAGCAUUCAAGAUGCUGGCAGAUUCACUUGAUUCUUAUUAGUUUGUUUAGUGGUAAAGCAUAUAACCUGUUUUUCAAAGCCAAGUUGUGCUAUUGAUUAUGUUAACUUUAUUGUUCACAUAAAGUGAUAUGGAGGAAAUAAUCAUUGUAGGAAAAUUAGGUGAAGAGGUGAUGUCAAAUCUUGAACCUGUUACAAAACUCCAAGUUCUUUACUUGAAGAAGCUACCAAAUUUGAACAGGGUCCACUGGAAGGCCUUGCCAUUCCCUGAUGCCUGCAGAAUUUUUGUAUUUAAAUGCCCAGAGCUUAAGAAGCUGCCACCGGAUCUUGAAAGGGCAGGCCAAGGUAAAAUUCUUAUCAAGGGAAAGGAAGAUUGGUGGAAACAACUUCAAUCGGAGGAUCAAGUAACUCAGAAUGCAUUGCUUCUAUUUUUAAAAUCAACUGACAAGUGAUUGAAGGGGGCAUCAUCAACAUCAUCAACAUGGAUGGAGAGAUUCAGGAGCAGAUCCGCAGGGUUUAUUACGACCUGUGGUGGUUGCUUUUUUGUGACUUGUUCCCUUUCAUUUUUUCACUUCCUGUCAUAUUAUCAUUUCUUUGUCUCUGUUUCUAUUGCUGAUGUUGCUGCAUGCUUGCAGCCCUUGACAAAGUUAGCAAUGCAAUAUAGAUUUUGAAAUUAAAUUUUGUAUGUUCGGGACAGUCACAAAGUACUACUUGUUCUAUAUGGGGGUGAUGUGAAUCAACUUUUCAAUUAUAUAUUCUGUGGUAAUUGUGAAUUCAAUUUCAUUUGUCUCCUGCAAAUUAUGAAGAAAGUGCAGAGUUAGAAUAUCGAAAAGUUCACUGGCAAAUACUUUGUAAAAGCUUCGGAGUGAAACAGGGAAUGCACUUGCAACUAAGGACAAAUUGGUGGCCAGCUAAUGCAUUCAUUUUAUGUACAUUCAUCUUUUUAAUUAUUGAAGAUAAGUGGUUCGUUGCUUUUGUUGUAGAAAAAAUUCAGACGACCUCAAUUGUGAGAUGAAAAUAUUUAAAAUAUCUCUUAAAUUAUUAUAAACUUUAAUUUAUCUUAAUUUUAUUUAAAAGAUAAAAGAAAAAUGUGGUAUAUGGGUAAAAAUUUUUUUAUCUUGUUAAUAAAAUGAAAUAAAUUAAAAUUUACAAUAAUUUAAAGUAUUUUAAAAUUAUUAUUUCAUAAGAGAUUAAUAUGAAAUUAAUCCUUUUUACUUUUUGAAUGUGAAAGGACAAGAAAAGAGAAAGCUAGUGUCACUGCUUUUUAUUUUAUUUGAAAUCGGAGUUAUCCCAUAUACUUUACUACUUUAGCUCUAACAUUACAAUGUUUUUAGGCUACACUUUUAUUUUUCUUUUUCCCCCUUUUUUUAUACAUGCAUGUGGAUUACUUUUCUCUAAGCUCCUUAAUAUUUAAGACAAAUCAUAAAAGCAAUUGAAGCAUAACAAGAUGAUCAAAACAUUUAACCGAAAAAAAAAGAAAUAAAACAUUGAAAAUGGAGAUGUUGAUUAAUUUAGAAGAGAUGCAAGCAAAAAAUAUUCCCAAAAAAAAAAAAAAAAAAAGCAACGUUAGUUCAUCCAUGUCUGUCAAUGCGUUUUUUAUGGUUUUUUUUUUCCAGUUGUUUGUUGUAAUAGAUUAAUUGUAAAUUGAUAUAAACUUGAUGUUGUAAUAUGUUCGCUUUUGUGGAAAUAAAUUUCAAUAUUCAAGAUUAUUCAAGUCUUAUCUAGUAUGUGUUCGGUUGUGUUGUCGAUAAUUUUACAUUCUAAUAAGUUUUCACCUAAAAUAUUAGCAUGAGUAGUAGUCCUUAAACCUUUGGUCAAAAUUAUUGUUAUUGUUUCUUUUAGAGGAAAUUUUUUUAUUAAAGCCUCGUUAACACUAUUCCUUAUUAAGAUUAUAAGUUAGUGUCGGUGCAGGAUUUGCAGCGACAAAUCUUGUCUAGCCACGUGUCAAAAUACAAAUAAAUCAAGGGAAAGCACAUGACAUGGAUUAGGAUCCAAUAAAAUUUAAAUCCCAAGGAAAAGGACAACUGUAUCCUAAAGUUUCAAUAAGAGAUACUGGGAUAUCUUUUGACUAAUGUUAUUUUUUGGCUUUAUUAAUAAAAAGAUCCAAUAGUUUAUAACAAAUAAAAAUAUAGUAUUAAGCUAAAUGUGAUAAUUUACACAUUUUACAUAAUUUCAAUAAAAAUUUUUUUAAUGUUUUACAAUCUAUCAGACAUAUUUUAUUAAAUUAAUAAGAAUUUUCUUAUAAAUAGCAACAUAAUAUUAAAAUAAAUUUAUAAAAAUUUAAAUGUAAAAUAAUUUUAGUAUAAUUAAUACGCGGGAUAUAUUUUGUAAAUUAUAAAAUUACUUAACCCAAUGAUUUUUAAAAAUCUUUAAAAUAAAUAAAAAUAAAUUAUUCACAUUUUGAUGUAAAUAUUUAAAACAUUUUUAUACAUUAGUCCACAAUUAUUUAUGUUAUAUUUGUAUUUAUUAGAAAUUUUGAAAGUCAAAUGUUUUUUACCUCUAUGUUAUUAGAAUUAUUGCACACAGAGAAAGAGCCAUAUAUGCUUUAUAACUUUAAAAUCGAUUUGUUUUAUAGCUGGGAAUAGAGAUGAUCAUUAUUAUAAGGAUUUUUUAAAAAAAGAUAAAGAAUAUUAAUGAUUAGCGAAAUCUCUAUGGAAAUUGAAUUUAGUAAGAAAAAAUUGAGCUGAUUUUAGUGGUAUAGUAAUAUUUUAUAUAGAGAAAAGUAAAAGCUGCACCCAAGGUUAAGGGAAAUGGUCAAAAUUCUUUUUUAAUCAUAAUACCCUUUUUCCUAGAUAAUUUAAAAAUUUUACUCUAAUAGUUUAUAAUAAAUAAAAACAUAUAAUCCUAAAAUAAAUAAAAUGAUAUAUAUUUUAAAAUAAUCUCAAUAUUUAAAAUAUAUUUUAACAUUUUAUAAUCUAUUAGAUAUAUUUUAUUAUAUUAAAGUAAAUUUUAUAAUAAAUACAAAACAUACUAUUAAAAUAGAUAUAAAAAUUUUAAAGUAUUUUGAAUAUUAUAUAAAAUAACUUUAAUAUUGUUAAUGCAUGAGAUGCAUUUUAUUAAUUAAAAAUUCUAUGUAACCCAAAGAUUUAUUUAUAAUAAAUUAAUAAUCAUAUUUUUGAAAUUAUUUUAAAUAUUAAAAAAUAUUUUAAUAUUACUAACUAUUAGAUAGACUAAACUAUUUAUUUUAUUUUCUAUUUAUUAUAAAAUUUCAAAGUUAAUCUUUUUAACUACUAUUCAAAAGAUGUUAUGAUAAAAACAGAAUUUUUGUGUUUUUAUUGAAAAUUUGGAGUUUACAUCUAUUUUUUCAAAUAUUCAGGGUGUAACUGUUUUUUCCCUUUUAUAUAUACGAACGGUGGUGAGAAAGUUUGAUUUAACGUUAUUUAUUUAAAUAAAAUCUCAGUUAAAAAUGUACAGAGAAGAAAUUUCGGUUGGUAUUUUAGUCUUGGUAAUCUCUAUAUUAUAUGCAUAUAAGAUACAUCAUUCUCACAUGAAUAGUAUAUGUGUGAGAUCCAUAUAUUAUUCAUGUGAGGGAGAUGUAUCUUAAUAAGAUAGAGGGAUCCGUUAGUCUUUUACCAAUCAUCACGAUUAGGCCUUGGCCUUGAAACAUUAAUUGUUUCACUUUUAGCGCUAGUGGCGUUGAAAGUUGUCAAGAAAAAGCAAGACCAUAUUCCACAAAAGCAAAAGUAACGUAGGCUCUUUUAUUAAAGGCAAAGUAUAAAGUAGUCAAGAAUCGAAUAUCCUGUCGUCUACUCUUUUUUAAAUUCUUCUUUUAUUAUCGUUUAGAAUAGUUUUUGGUAAUUACAAUCAUUAUUCAGAGUUAUUGUUAUCUUCCGGGGCAGUCUCUGUUCAUCGAAGUCGUUACCUUUUUUUUAAUGGAUCAGUUCCAGUGGUAAGCAGUAAUUUUCUUAGAACUCGGAUCUUUAAUUCGAGUUUCUGUGUGAAUUAAUAAUAAAAAAUUUUCAUUACACGCAAUUUAAGCUACGAAUUACUUUUUGCAAAGUUGAAUAUGGAAUUGGAGAAAUUAAGUAAUUUAGAAUGUUGGUAAAAAUUGACGAACAUAUCUCCAAUUACAGUAAAACCUCUCUACAGUCAUAACAUUAUAACAAAAUUAAUUUUAUUACUAUGUUGAGGUAAUAUAGGUUUAGUUACAAAAUUAUUGUUUUAAUAUGGUUAGUGUCAAGUGAUAUAAAGGUUAAGUAUGCAGUACAUUAAUAAUUAAAUAAUGAAGUGUCAAAUCUAAUGUAUAUAUAUUAAUGAUAUAGAUAGACAUAGUUUUAAAAAACUAAUUAAUGUAUAUUUAUGUAGUGUUAUGAAUAUGGAAAGUCAAGCCUACACUUUACAUUAUCCUUAAUUUUUUCUCUCAGUUAAAUUCUACAAAUAUUGUACAAUGGUUGGGCAAGAACUCUAAAUUAAGAAUAAAUUAUUGUCACAAAUAAUUUUAGAAAAUAUUUUAUUUCGUCUUAAACCUUUAAUAUAAAUAAACAUAUAUAUAUAUAUAUAUAUAUAUAUAUAUAUAUAUAUGUGUGUGUGUGUGUGUGUGUGUGUGUGUGUGUGUGUGUGUGUGUGUGUGUGUGUGCAUAUUUUGCAACGUAUAGAUAAUUGUUAGUAUAUGGAGACAAGUCUUUUAAGGUAGGACCUAGGAAAAUUUAUAACUUACUACACUGUGGAGUUUUUAUUCCUUUUUAUAAUUGGCUCAUAUUGAUACAUUCUUACACAAAAUAUUACCAUUGACAUAUUUUACUACAAUUAGUUUAGAACAUUUGUUAGGAAAAAAAAGAAAAGAAAAGAAAACAUCCCUUGGAUGUAGCUCUCCUGACUAUUUAAAUCUUUUAAGGAAAAAAAGAAAAAAGAAAAACUGGCACAUUCAAAUCUUGAAGCAAUUACAUUAAAAUCUCUCCAUAAUGAUAGGAAUAAUCUCCAUUUAGUAAUAAAAAAUUUUGUUCGCAAUUUAGGCAGAGUUAUAAAUAAGAAUAAAAUCCUCAUUGUAAUAAGUUAUAUUUAUUAUGGAUCCCAUCCUAAGGAAUUCGUCUCUAUAUAGUAAUAAUUAUUUGCAUAUUAUAAAUAUAUAUGUUGCAUUAGAUUAAAUGAACUUGUCUCCACAUACUACUUAGACAACGAGAGAAAAUUAUUAAAGAGAACACAAAUAUUUAGAUAUUUUUAAGAUUACUUUGCAUAUUUAUAACAAUAAUACAUUGAUAUAUGUAUUAGUUUUUUGAUAUAUUAGAUUUAACAUGCUCUAUUAAUAAAUUAUUAAUACGAUGCAUAUUCAUCUCUAUAUCCUUGCAAUAAAAGUAACUAAGUUAUAACAAUAAUUAUUAAUAAAUUAUUAAUACGUUGCGUACUUCAUCUCUAUAUCCUUACAAUAAAAAUAACUAAGUUAUAAUGAUAAUUUUUGUAACUACAUACUUAUUAGGUUUUAACUACUUCAUAAUAAUAAAUUAGUUUCGUCCUAAUAUUAUAAUUAUGUAGAGUUGUAGUGUAUAGACACACCCAAUUUAAAUAGUAUAUCAAAUAAAAUUGUCCCCACGAAAAAGAAAAAAGGGGUAAAGGAUUCUCAUUUCUUCAAACAUUAGGAUCACGUUUGUACAAGUGCGAUGCCUUUCUUUUGAAGGCAACGUCAGUGGGUACCCAAUAGGACGUGUGUAAAUCUUUCCAAAAUUUCUCUGGUAUAACGGACAGAGAUCAUUACUUUUCUCUUCCAUAUACCACAGCAGCUUCAGUUAAUCAGACUCAAUCAAUUUUCUUGGUUUCUUCGCUUAUCAAAAUUCCAAAAUAUGGGUAGCAUAUUUCAAAUCACAUGCGAUGGUGCUUUUUUCAAUCGUUGCUUGGAUUGCUUUCUUGGAAAAGUAGCAAACACAAGUAAGCUCCAAGAUAACCUUGUUGCCUUGGAGACUGAAUUGGGAAAACUAAUCGCAGCAAAGAACGAUGUGAUGAUGAGGGUUGUCAAUGCUGAACGGCAACACCUGAGAACGCUGGACCAAGUGCAAGUGUGGCUUUCGAGGGUGGAAGCUGUUGAAACUGAAGCUGAUGAAUUGAAAAGACACGGCUCUCAAGAAAUUGACAAAUUAUGUGUUGGAGGCUACUGUUCCAAGAACUGCGCGUCAAGCUACAAGUUCGGGAAACAAGUGGCUAAAAAGCUACGGGAUGUGCAGACUUUAAUCGACGAAGGAGUUUUUGCGGCGGUGGCUACCGAGGUGGUGCCUGAGAGAGCUCCAGAACCUGUAGCAGAUGAAAGACCCACUGAGCCAACAAUAGUAGGCUUGCAAUCACAACUUGAACAAGUUUGGAGAUGUCUUGUAGAAGAAUCAGUGGGAAUCAUUGGCCUAUAUGGUAUGGGCGGUGUUGGUAAAACUACACUAUUGACCCAUAUCAACAAUAAAUUUCUUGAGAGUCCAACCAGUUUUGAUUGUGUGAUUUGGGCCGUAGUUUCAAAGGACUUGCGACUCGAAAAAAUUCAAGAAGAUAUUGGGAAAAAGAUCGGUUUGGUUGAUGAUUCAUGGAAGAGUAAAAGUGUAGAGGAGAAAGCUCUCGACAUCUUCCGGAGUUUAAGAGAGAAGAGAAUUGUAUUGCUGUUAGAUGAUAUAUGGGAGCGGGUUGAUUUAACAAAAGUGGGCAUUCCACUUUCCGGACCAAAAAAUACUACAUCAAAAGUCGUAUUCACAACCCGUUUCGUCGAUGUUUGUGGUAGCAUGGAAGCUGACAAGAAGUUCCAGGUGGCAUGCUUAUCAGAAGAGCAUGCUUGGGAACUGUUUCGAAAAAAAGUUGGGGAAGAAACUCUUGAGAGUGAUCAUGAUAUCGUUGAGCUAGCCCAAACUGUGGCCAAAGAGUGUGGUGGUUUGCCACUCGCACUUAUUACUAUUGGUCGAGCUAUGGCCUUCAAAAAGACAGCCGAGGAGUGGAGUCAUGCAAUUGAUGUGCUAAGAACA